UAGAUGAGAUGAAAUACAACUGAUAAGGAUUUCAAAUCCUGUCAUCGAAACAAAAUAUCCUAAAAAAGCCGCAUGCUACACUUCAACCAAGAAGCUGAAAUUCCUAUUGAUCCACACCCUCAAAAAUCAUGCAACCGCCCGUAUAAGUUUUUAACAUGGCUGAUACUGAUAAUUCGCAUAUUAUAGUGGAAUAAAAGAGAAUUAAAGCCACUGUACACUUGUGCCGCUUACUAUUUUUUUCUUUGUCAAACUUAAAUUCUACGCAGCUGGGAUGCACCAGUGGAUAAUUCAUCAAUUGUGUGCAAUCUACACAUGAAGUUAUGUUUGGAAGCAAAGAGGGUAAGAGAUCUAGUAGUAACCUUUUUCUUUCCUUGUUCGCUUCUUCCUAAUAAAGAUGAGUUUAUUCACAAGCUACCAACAAAGCAAGAACAGAGAAGCCUAUCCUUCUCGACCGACAAACCCUAAACUUUUGAUUUUCUUGAAUCAAAGUGAUUCCAGUCAAUAAAAUUUGGGACUUUACUAAAUUUACCGAUCGAUGAUUCCAUUAAAUUUCACCACUUUAAUCACUUUUCAGCAAAUAAAACUGAACUAACAAAAUGGUUAAUAGGUAAAAGAGCCAUUAAUUCAAACAAAAUUUCAACUUUACUAAAUAGAAUUACUUAAAUUACUUAGAUUAAAAGAAUUGAGAAGGUAAAUUUGAGGUGCCUAUUUCAAAAUAGCCUAUAGUUGAGGAACACAAAGUCAAAAUUUACCAGCAAAGGGGGGAAAAAAAAAAAAAAAUCUUAACCUAACAAAACCUAAACAAUUUAAAGCCUAUAUUAGAAAAUUAAUCAAAAGAUUCAAAACCCAGAAUAACUUUACCAAAAAAACAACAACCAAAAAACAAAAACAAAAAAAACAAAAGGUUAACCUAACAAAACCUAUCAAAUUAGAAACCUAAAUUAGAGCAUUAAUCACAACUCCACAAAUUCACAAAAUACAACCCAAAUCUCAACUAAUCAACCAAAUUCAUACUAGUAGAAGAAACAAGAGAAAUCCAGUCAAAACUUACUACAUCUCACCCAAAUAAAAAAAUAAAUAAAUAAAUAAAUAAUAGACUAAACCUAGCAAAACCCAAAAUAGAACAUCAAUCAAAUCCCAGUAUAUAUUUACCACCAAAAAAGCACCGACAAAAUAAGAUCUCAACCUACCAAAACCUACCUUAUUCAAACCCUAAAUUGGAGCAUUAAUUACAACUCCACAAAACUCCUCAAAUGCAUUCCACCACCUCAAAAAAAAAGACUUUAAAAAAAAAAUCCUAAUUAAAUCAUCAUUUACAACACCAAAAUUCAAAUCUAAACCCAAAAAAAGUAAUAACAAAUUCAUACCAGGAGGAGUCGAAGCCGAUCUAUCGCGCACCACAAAGAUCAAAACAAGAAAAAGGGUGCAGAUAAACAAAAAGGAAAUAAAAAGAGGGGGGGUGGGGGUUACUGAAAAAGGGAAGUGGAAUUAAAGUCGGCGACGAGAUUGGGUUGGGGUAAAGAAAGCGCCGGAUUCUUCCGUGGGCGCCGACUUUAACUUCGGCUCUACGCCUUCUUCUCCGUUCUCUUCUCUCCUCUGCUUCUGAUGAGUUGUUAAAGUGCGUGGGGAGUAGUGCUAAGAUUUUUUCUUUUCUUUUUCUUUUUUUUUUCUUUUUUUUUUUUUUGUUUGAAAGAGAGAGAGAGAUGUAACGCAGUAACGGUUGGAGAGAAAAGAGAGGGGGUACAAAUUUUACUCAUUUUGACUUAAAUGGAAAAAAUUAGGAGAAGCGGUUUGAGUGCGUGGACCGGGUUUACCACGUCACCUCCCAAACCGCCGCUUUUUGUUUUUUUGGGUAUUUAGGUGGCGUUCAAAUAGUAACUGUUUAUUUAGUUGAAAGUGAAAAAGUAGUGAACUGUUUCCGGUCAUUCGUUGUUUAUUUUGCAGUAAUAAAAAUACGAUCGAAAUUCGAGUUAUUCGAAACAACGAAAGUUAAUUACGAUGAAGAAAGAUAAAAACAAUAAUAAAAUAAUAUAAUAAGUAAUGCUAAUUAUAUUUAAAUAUAUUUAAUUAUGGCAUUAAUUAUUAUUUUAUUUAGUUUGUAUAUUUAAAAUAUGAUAAAAAUUGAUUAGUUAAGUUUUAUUAUUUUCUUCAUUUAGUUUGUACAUCUAAAAUAUAAUGAAAAUUGAUUAGUUAAGUAUUUAUAUAUAUUUUUUACUUUAUAAUUUUAUUAUUGUAUUAUUAUAAUUUAUGUACAAAAAAAUAAUUUACUUGUUUUAGAUUAAAUUUUUAAUUGUAUAGGAAUAUAACUAUAUUAUUUUUAUUUAUUAAGUUAUUUAUUAUGUAUACACAAAUUAUAAUUUUACAUUAUUCAUUUUCUGCCAAACAAACAGCGAAACUGAAAGAAUUUUAUUUCCAUAUCUAUGAAACAAACAGCAAGAGAGAAAUAGUUUUCACCGAAUUCUAUUUUGAACUAAAUUCUAGUUUCGGUGAAACAAAUAGGUCCUUAUUUGAAAAAUUGUGUAAAAUUAUUACAAAUAAUUUUUAAUAUUUCAGAUAAAAAAUAUAAAAAAUAAAAGAAGACUAUUUUGUAAAAUUUAGAAAAAAAAAUUAUUAUUUUAUAAAAAUUUCUGAAAAUUAAAUACACAAAAAAUCCUUUUCUAACCCAAAUAACUAACUUGUUGGGGUUUUUUUUUUAAGAGUUAAAUAGUUUCUUAGAUAUUGAUUUAGCGGUCCAAAAUGAAAGAGGGAGCAACAAUUUUUUUUUAUUUUCAGAGUAAUACUUCCUCCAUAACUAUAAAUAUAUAGAGUAUAAAUCUUAAUCGCAUUAAUCUAAAAGCUAAUAUUCUUCCAUUAGUCUAAUCAAUUAUUUUAUUUCAGUAUUAAAAAUUUGUUAGAGUACUUUUCGAUAUUUUGAUGGACAAUGAUAAUUUUGAUUUCCAAUAAAAACUUCUAUAAAAUAUAUUUUUAAAAGCUUAUUUAUUUUACACAAUUUUUUUUUCCUGAAUGCGAAUAUAAAAGUAUUAAAAAGAUGCGUUCACGCGCUCAAAUUGUUCGUAGAGACACCACUGAACACAUCGAUUCAAUUGCACAAAUGUUAAAAAAUUAAAAUCAAAUCCUUUUAAAAGAAUUGUAUUCUUAGUAUAAAAAAUAAUAUUCCUGAAUUUUCUUUUUUUGACUGAAAAUAUUAUGUGUGAAAUUGGAAGAGUUCUUAUAAAUCCACUGGUCUGGUUCAGUGGACCUGGUCCAAGCAAUAAUUUCUCUUAGAACAGAUCUAGAGUCCAACGGUCAGUUUUCAUAGAAGUUUCCAAAUUGAACCUACAUGCAAUUAUUUAAGGGUAAAUUUCAAAUAUUAUCCUAUAAUUUCACAAUUUCUCAUUUUAGUACCAUAUACUUUAAAGUAUAUUAUUUCAAUGCUCUAUGAUUUUAUUUUUAUCUUUUCAUCGGCACCUUCAUUAACUCUUCAUUAAAUCAUAUAUAUAGAAAACUUCCGAUACUCCAUCUAUGGUUUAUCGAAUAUUCACUUUAGUACCAUAUAGUUUACCAAAUUUUUAAUUUAGUACCAUGUGAUUUUAACUUCAUCACUAAUUUAACAAAAAAAUUAAUGGAGGAAUAAUGAAAAGAGAAAAAAGAAACCAUAUGGUUCUAAAGUGAUACAUUUUAAACCAUAGAGUAUUAAAGUAAGAAAAUGCGAAACCGCGGAUUGUGGUAUUUGAAGUGUUUCCGUUAUUUAAAGAAAUAAUAUCUAAUAUUCUAAAAUUUUAAAAAUAUCUUAUUUAUUUUUGAAGAAUCAAGAUGCUUCUGUUAAUUUUAAAAUAUGUCAUCAAAUAUUCUAAUAAGGUUGGAUUUAAAAAAAAUUUAAAUUUUAAUAAUUUUAAAAUAAAUUUAAAAAUUUUGAAUAGUAAUAAGGGAUAAAUAGGCUAGAGCCUAUUGUUUAAAAUUAACUACAAAAUUGCCAAGAAGAGUACAAGAAAAUACAUAAGUUGGGAACUGCAUGGGAUUUGUCCUUUAUGAAGUGAGUUGGCACUAGCCUUUACAGUUUGCAUUAAUGCACCAAUUUAUUAUUUUUACAGUUUACAUUUAUGUAUCAUAAAAAUAAACUAAAGAAAUAAAAAAAAAUACACGUAGACAAAAAAAAAGGGAAAACUUCAAAAAACCCCCCGUGGUUUCGUGCAUUCUCACUUUACUACCCUGUGGUUUAAAACGUAUCAAUUUACCCCCUGUGGUUUCAUUUUUAUCUUUUCGGAAGCUUUUUCGUUAAUAUUUCGUUAAAUUAUAUACAAAAAACUUCAGAUAACCAUCUAUAUUUAUCGAAUAGUCACUUUAGUAUCCUUUAAUUUUAACUUUGUCACUGAUUUUAAAAAAAAAUAAUAAUAAAAUUGAUAACAAAAAGAUAAAAACGAAACCACAGGGGGGCAAAUUGAUACGUUUUAAACCACAGGGUAGCAAAGUGAGAAUGCACGAAACCACAGGGGGGGUUUUUGAAGUUUUUUCAAAAAAAAAAAAGAUAAACUUCAAAUAAUGUAUCCAUAUAGUUUCGCACUUUCUUUUUUAGUGUCAUGUGAUUUAAAUGAUAUCAAAUUAAUAUUUUGUGGUUUCAUUUUUAUCUUUUCAUUAGCUUUUUCGUUAAUAUUUCGUUAAAUUAUAUACAAAAAAUUUCAGAUACCCCACCUACGUUUAUCGAAUAUUCACUUUAGUACUAUUUAAUUUUAACUUUAUCACUGAUUUAACGAAAAAAAUUAGUGGAAUCGAUAAUAAAAGGAUAAAAAUGAAAUCACAUGACCUAAAUUGAUACAUUUUAAACCAUAUGAUACUAAAGUGAGAAAAUGUGAACCACGGGAGUGAUAUUUAAAGUUUUCCUUGAAAAAAAUAAAAAAAAAAGAAAAAAUAAAAAAAUAAAUGAAAAAGAGGCUAAGACUUAGUUUGGUAUUGAGAUCUAUCUAACGCUAGCUAUUAGAUAAAAUGGAGUUGAGAAAAAAGCAUAUAGGAAUAUGCUUCUGUGUUCUCCGGUGGGACCGCAGAAAAUAUAUCGUAACCGACUUAUCGCGAUAUGCGGAACAUAAUAUUACUUACGAAAACAAGCAGGGUAUUUUCCCAUCGUCGUUUCUCACCGCAUGUAACGCAAUCUCCCCGCAAUCUCAAACGAAGCCUAAAGAAAAAAUGGCAGCUGCUAUAGUAAAAUAUAAGACUGAAAGUAUUAAAAAAAAUAAAAAAAAAUAAAAAAAUAAAAACAAAAUUAUAAGAAUAGUAAAUUAUUAUUUAGUAGUAGUAAAAAUAUAUAAAAAAAAAAAGUUAAAGAAGAACCAGCAAGAGCAACAACAUUAAUAAAGUCAUUAAAAACAACACAAAUAAUAAUAACAAUAGAAGAAAAGGAAUAAUAAGUAUACUAAUAGAGCAAAAAGUAUAUUUCCUGUCUCAUUUUGUUGUUCAUUUGCAAAUGCUUUUCUUUUCAGACAACUACAGAGUGGAAAAGAGAGAGGCAAAAAGCCUCCUAGGCAAGAGGAAUAAGUGAGUUUUUAUUAUUAUAGCGAUCGAUAGGCAUGUGAAAUGAGAGUGAAAUUAAAACUCAAAACCGUAAUGCGGUGAGAGAGAGAGAGAGAGAAAAAAAGCGGAAAAGAGAAAAUGGGCAAAUUACAAAAUCAAAAGGUUUCUUGUUCCUCCUACGGGAUGCGACGAUGGCGGGUCAGAGAAGCAGGAUACGUAAUAGAAUUGGGCGAAUUCGAAAUUAUUCUAUACACAAUGCACUACUAGCAAUAGAAAAUAAAAGUUUAGAUCUUAAAAGUUAUUAUUUGAGCAUAUUGAAUUAAUUGUUGGUGAAAACUCAAAAUUUUGAGUUUGAAUUUAUUUUAUUUGCACUUUGAUAUUUUAUUGUUUAUUAUUUAUUAUUUAUUAUUUUAUUUAUUUAUUACUUUAUUUAUUUUAUUUUAUUUUAAUGGAAUAUUUUUCGUUCCGUUUCUUUCGCAUUACGUUGGGCGGGUUCCGCUUCUUUCUUGUAAGAGAAAAAGCGUAAAAUCCUCUUUUCCUUUUUAGGUCAUUUUCUUUUUUCUUCUUGCUCAAGAUAGAGCAGGCAGGCAGUAAAGAUUUUUGAUCAUUGGUUAAUUUCUAUCCAUUUAUUCAUUUAUCUUUCAUUUUUGAACAUUCCCUUUAUCCACUGGGUGUUGAGAAUUUCUAUCAACCUCCUUCACGAUCGUGCUCGUAGGAGGAGAAAUUCCGGUCGUACCUUCGGGUGCUAUUUCCGAUUAAUCCCGCACGUAAGGACAUGAAUACGUCUUAGGACAGUGCCUCGCACGCUUCCGGAUAAGAUCAAGUCUUUAUUGGAAUAUUUGCGUCAUCUGUAAGUUUGAUUUAUUUAUUUUUAUCACAAAAUUAGUUAGAUUUUAAUCACAAUCGAAUUUUCGUUGCGGUAUUUGUUCUAACAUUAAUAUUAUAUCUAAUAUUAAAUUUAGUUAGUCAACAUUAGUCUUAUAUUAGCAUUUAUAUACUUUCAUGAGUUGUAUAUAGUUAUUUCGACUUAAAUUGAAUGAGACAUACAAUUAUGAUGAACUUUAUAUAUAUUACAAAUCUUAAAACAUUCUAAAAAGCCAACAUUAGUUCAAAAAAACAAACUGGUGCUAAAUCCGGACACGGUAUACUCGUAUUCAACGAACAUAUUAUUUGAUUUUAAUUUUCCUAUUGAUUCAUAAAUUUUUAUUUUUAAGCUCCCAAUUGAUAUUAAGUGUAUCAAGUCAACAAAAAUAUACUAGAUACACACACGUACUUGAACUAUAUAUAAACAAUCCUUGCAUUGUUUUAAUAUUGAUUUUUUUCGAACGCAUGACAUGUGUGAUCAUCCAGGGAAGUUUCUAAUGAAAACACAUACAUUACGUAUAGUUCCUCUUCUUUUUUUUUUAUUUUAACCUUUUGUAUUAUAUAUUGGUAGUUAAUCUAUGGAGUUGCACGUGUGGGGGAAAUGGUGACAUGGUGGUCUACUUGCUUUUAGUAUUCACAUUUAUUUAUGUAUAGAAAUUAUAUAUCUGCUUUGAUGAUCAUCAUAAGAUUAAGUUCAAUCCAUGCAUCAUUACUUUGAUAGUUAAGGAAAUAAUUUUCAGCUAUAAAUGCUUGUUUUAUUUACUUAAUUUACUGUUCAUUAAGUUCGACUGAAAUUUAGUUUUACAUAAUAUAUGACUUGUAAUAUCUUGUGUGAUAGCAAAAUCAAUUAUAAGAGAGGGAGAUAGAGAAUAAUAAAAAAUUUAAUUAAUGACUCUUUUGUUUGCUCUCUUGUACACAAGUGCAAAAAAAAUAUAAAAAGUGGGAGAACUUAGGGCGUGUUUGGUUCGCUUCUUUUUCACCAUGGAAUCGGAAUGGGAGUGAGUGAAUCCGUUUAUGGGUGUUUGGUACGUGGGAGUUCCAUUCCGAUUCUGAUUCCCGAGUGGAAUGGAAAUCGCUCAAUCACCCUUUUUUCAAUCCGGCCUAGAAGGCCGGAUUAGAAGUUGAAUCCGGGCGGCAGGCGGAAUAGAUAUUUAUUUGGAUUAAAUUUAUUUUUUCAACUUUUUUAAUUAAAAUAUGAGUUAAAAUUUAAAAAUUAAAUAUAUAAUUUUAAAUUUUAAUUUGAACGUAAAUUAAAAAUUAAAAUUUAAUCAAGUAUUUCGAAUCUAACUUAUGAAUUUGAAUUUAAAUUAAAUUUUAAUUUAUAUAAAGUUUAUUCAAUUUUUUUUUCAAACUUAAAUUAAAUUUAUGAAUUCAAAUUAAAUUUUAAAUUAUAAUUUUAAAUUUGAAUUUGAAUAAAUCAAAAUUUAGUUUCAUAUUUUGAAUUAUCCAUUCAACUUCAAAGUUUAAUUUUUUUAAAAAAAUAGAUUUAAAAUUUUGACAUUAUUUCAAAAUUUUGAUGUAAAUUUUAUAUAAAUUNAUUAAUAUAUUAUAAAGAUAAUGUUAGUAUAUUCAUUUGAUUACGUUUUUAUAUCCAUCUGAACCAAACACCAACAAUGGAAAUGAUUUAUUCCGAUUCCGAUUCAGGUGAUGAACUAAACAGAAUUAGGUAAUGAGUCAUUCCGAUUCCGAUUCCAGCUUAUUUUGAUUCCGAUUCCGAUUCCGACUCCGACUUCGAACCAAACACGCCCAACAUUGACUUAGUUUCAAAACGUUGACUUUCUAUUAAACAAAUAACAGUAAAAAAUAAUUUUCACUCCGUAAAAUGUACCAAAAAAUAUUUUUCGGCUUGAAAAGUUUUUUUUGUAUACUUGUUUAGUUGUAAAAAAAAAUUUCAAAAAAUUAUUUUUACAGAUUUGAAGAAAAUAGGGCAUUUUCGUCUUCUAUCAAUUUUUGGCAGAAAAUAAAAAUUCAAGCUGCGUAAAAUUUUUUUCAUUUAUUUUUUUUUUACCAAACCAAACAAAUAUAAAUUUUAUUCUUUCAACCAAACAAAUGUUGAUGAAAAAUUUCUUUUUUGUAUCAAUUUUUUUUUUUCAUGAAAAAUUGAUUUCAUGAUUUUACGUACAACCAAACACCAAGCUUGAAUUAAGUUUUAGAUGAUCAAAACAUAGCUUGUGGAGAAAAUGAGACUAAUAAUUAUUGCCUCUUAUAUAUGUUGGGUUUGGGUUAGGGUGGGUUCUAGGGUGAGCUUGGGGAUAUAUAGAUGCCUAUUAUCAUCUUAAAAAAUAAAAAUAUAUAAAAAAUUGUAAAACUAUUACUUUGUGAUGAGCAAUUAAUUUAUUUUGGUAAGUUAGGGUUGUCAUUGUCAAAUAACCCAAAUCCAGCUUAAAAGCUUAAACCACUAAUUAGGUAAAGACAUCUUUCACAUUAAAAUCACAUCCAAUAUAGAAUUAUAAUUUCUAACACGUUUUAACAUGUGGUAGGCACUAUUAGCAUGGACCCAAUAAAAUCACAUGAGAACCACAUAUUAAUUAAUACACAACUAACACAUUUGGCGCAAACAAAAUACACAUAUUAGGCUCCAUAAGCAAGCUACACAAACAUAGUUCACAAAUUUGAUGAGCACACAACUAGCAUGUGUCGACCCUUGAAAUGGUCAAAAAUUAAAAGGUUAAUAUAUAGAUCAUGAUUUUAUUUUGUAUCGAAUAUGAGGAGCAGGACUUGUAUGUUAUUAGAAGCACGGAGGCCUCCAUGCUCCUAAACUGUUUUCGAUAAAUAGAAUCCGUUAAAUUUGAUUUAGUGUAUUUGAAGUAUCUAAAAAAUAAAGUUGUAAUUUUUCAAUAUCGAUCAUUUAUGCAGUAAUCAAAAGAACUCAAAAUGAACGAUUAAAAAUAAAAAUCUUAUAAAAAGUUAUGAUGUAGCACUAAAAACUUUGAUAAGAGAUAUUAAUCUUGCUAUAGAUAGUAUAAAAAAUUUUCUAUCAAAAUUUUAUCUAAUUUGAAUACUUUUGCACUGUUAAACUUGCAAACCGACACAUCAACUAUUAAAAAAUAUUGAUUAUGAACACUUUCGAUCAUUAGGUAAAUGAUAUUAAAAAAUUAUAAAAAAUUAUUUUUUAGAUACUUCAAAUACGCUAAACCAAGUCUACGGAGUUGAUCGUUGAUUUAAAAAUAAAAUUAUCGAAAACAGCUUAGCAGUACGAAGACCUCCGUACUCCUGAUAUUGCAUGAGUCCUACUCCUAAUAUAAGACUAUUAUAAAGAAACUUUUCAACUCUAGCUUUAUAGUAUGUAGCAUUCAAUAUUUAAUAAAGUUUGGAAGUCCAAAAAUAUGCGCACAUAACAUGCAUGCAUUGUUGAACCGCACUCAUGAUCGAACUAGGGGCCGUUUGGAUGCAUGGAGUUAGAGAGCAAGGAACUUAUAAAUUUCUCAAACUCAAUUUUGGCCCCAACCGCAAUGAAGUCGAAAAGCCGACUUCUGAACAAUCGUGCGCAGGAGUUUGAAUGAACCUCUAACUCGGGUGCUGAAAUAAAUACCGAUACCUAUGAUUUUUUCGAAGUUACAAGUUCAAUCUCCGUGAUUGACAAAACGAAACGGUAGACGUCUAUGAACGUUGACAUUUUAAGUAUAUAUAUAUAUAUAUAUAUAUAUUUUAUUUUAAAGGACAGGUCCAAUCACAAAUUAAAUUGUUAGAUAGUAAAGUAUGCUUUUUGAAAAUUCAAUAGAUUAUUAUUAUUUUAUGUACAUAAAUAGUGAGUGUUACAUCAAAACUUCGGCGUGGGCAGUGGGAGUAGAACGCUUGCCGAAUGUAUAAAUUCAUUUUAUACACCGCAUUAUUAAAUAAUCUCCAAAAAGUUUUAAAAUUAAAAUCUAACUUAUUAGAUUUGUAGGAUCAUUAACAUUAGUUAUAAAUUCUUAAAGCUGAAGCUAUUGAAAUGUAUAACCAAUCGAUUGUGAUUCAGUCCAAAUCAAUAUUUUAAAUAUGUUCCCUCAAACUAACUAGAUAUACAUAUAAAAAGAUAUAUAUAUAUAUAUAUAAAAUUAUAAACUUCAAAUACUUAUUUCUCCGAGAAUUAUAAGAUAAAUUCAUAGCAGAUUUUUUUUUUUCAAAUCUUAUUAUUUUUUAUGAAAGGUCCGAUUAAUUUUAUAAUAUAUAAAUAAAUAUAGUAGUACGGAUACACCUAAUCUAAGUCCAAGCAAUAAUUUCCCACUCCUUUUCUCCCGGUUGGAAUUUGCGGCAAGGUGAAGUGGAUGCGCGGGGAUCUAAUCUAUAUUUAUGGAUGUAUCUAUCAUGCAUGUGAGUAGAGAUGCUAAUAUAUAUUUCUAGACAUAUCUAUUAUGCACGUGAAUGAGAAUACGUGUUAAUACAUAUUUCUCGGCAUAUUCAUUAUGCACGUGAGUGGAGGUGUAAUAUAUAUAUCUUGCCUAUCCAUCUUGCACGUAAGUCAGAAAUAUUAUUAUAUAUUUCUCAGUCCAAUUCAUCAUACACGUCAGUAAAUAUGUUAAUAUGUUUUUCUAGGCCUAAUCAACAAUGCACACAAGUGAUGGUGUUAAUAUAUUUCUGGACUCGUUUUCAUACUAUUCAUUACGCAUAUAUAUAUAUAUAUAUAUAUAUAUAUAUAUAUAUAUAUAUANAUAUAUAUAUAUAUAUAUAUAUUCGAGCUUUUCGAGCUUUUUGAGCCUAAUUCGAACGAGCCGAGUAAUACUCAAGCUCGGCUUAAAAUGAAUUUCGAGCCUUUUAUUUUGUUCAAGCUCGGCUCAUUUAAUUUCGAAUCGAGCUCGAGCGAGCCGAAUAUCGAGCCGAACACGAGUCGAACGCGAGCCGGCUCGCUCGUUUGCCAGCCCUACCGUUUAUAUACAUUACGCACAUGAGUAGGGAAUAGGGAUGUUAAUAGAACUCUGAUGUCGGCAACACGCGUCCCAAGUUGCCGCCCAUUACCGACACGUGGCAUUUCCUCAUCUAUUGAAAAAUUAUUUCCUGCACCCAGCGUAUAAAAGCAUUUUUGUACACCACAUUAUUAAUUAAAGAUCUUUAAAAAUAUUUUGAAAUUAAAAUCUAACUUAAGUACUAGAUGUAUAUAUAAAAUAUCUCACAAAACAAGCUAAGUUAGAAAUUUGAAACCCAUGGCCAAUUAUAUUAGUCAACCAUAUGAUUGGUUUUUUUUUUUCUUUAUCAUUGAUUAUUAAGUUUAUAAGAUAAUUAACUUCACAAUAGUUAAUUUUUUAUAAUAUCUUGUUAUAUUUUAUUUAUAAGAAAUUUAAAUAAUAUAAAUCACAUAUAUUGAAUAAUAUUUUAAUUUCAAAAAGGGAUUAAAUUUCAAAUACCAUUCCUGUGAUUUUGUACUUUCUCAUUUUUGUAUCUUGUGAUUUAAUUUUUCUCUUUACGUCAGCUCCUCCAUUAAUAUUUCGUUAAAUUAUAUGCAAGAAAUUUCAGAUACCCUAUCUAGGUUUAUCGAAUAUUUACUUUAGUACCAUUUAGUUUUAAUUUUGUCACUAAUUUAACGAAAAAAAUUAGUAGAAUGGAUGAUAAAAAGAGAAAAAUAAAACUACAAAUUAUAUACUAAAUUAAUACACUUUAAACUACAAAGUACUAAAGUGAGAACGAGAGAAAUCACGGUGUGGUAUUUGAAGUUUUCCCUUAAAAAAAAUACAUUUUUAAUGUAAUACGAAAUGGAUACACCAGGUGCAUGGGGGACCAACCGGGCCCUCGCAGUUCCCGCUCUUUUCUCCCCGUUUGGAUUUGCUGCUGUAGGGUGAUGUGGAUUGCGACAGCGACAUCCAAUAGGGAAGGGGGAUCAUGACAUGUGGAGGAAAACGAUUGGCUGCACGGAAACGAAAGAGACAUCUCACCAAACGGCUAAUAACCACUUAUUUUUGACACUUGAAACGUGGUCAAACUAAUUAGUCAAAAUUGAUGGAACCUUUUAAGAUUUUUUUUUUUUUUUCCUUUAGGAUAUUUUUUAGUUCACCUAUUCUAAACUAUGAAAUCAGAAUAAAAUUUAUUGAUUCUCACACUACAAUAAAAUUAGGUUAUAGAGACACAUAUUUGGGACACUUUUGAGUAAGUGUCCCAUUUAUGCUAAAACUUAAAAACACAUCUACUAAUGCCUAAAUAUAAAGCCCAAUCCAACCAAAAAUAAAAGAUUACUCUACUCAACCCACCACACCCAGUCUAUUUGGCCCGAUUACAAACAGAAAAGAAAAAAAAAGAAAAAUCAAUUACCAUCUUUUCUUCUCUCUUCACUCAAUCCACUGAAAUUCUAGACGAAGACCCUUUACUAUCGUCCUUUUCCGCCACCGCAGCCAACGAGAUAGAGUUUCGGCGGUUGCUAAAUGUUUAAAUAAGUGUUGGUAAAUUAGUAGCACUCCUUUAGGUUAUAGCGACACUCUUUAACUGCCACUAUAUACCUAGCGACCCCACAUAUAGCAACACUUUUUAAAAAUGUCGGUAAUUUUAGCUAGCAGCACUUUUUUGACAUGUACCUACAUUUAAAAGUGUUGCUAUAGACCGUUUUUGUUGUAGUGUCAUAGUUAUUAUUUGUUUUAUUGGAAUUUGAUUUCGGUUUUUAUUCUACUCUAGAAUGGGAAUAUGACCGAAUUCAUUUAUGGCUCAAUUCAGCCUUAAUCCCAAAUUGGUCCAAACCAAAGAAAACUAUUCAAAAUUUUAUUUCACCAACAUCUACCUCCUCUUUUUUUUUAUCAUUUUUCUCUCUCUUAAUCAAAUCCUCUCUCAAAAAUUUAAAAUUUUCAUUUCAAUUUCCAUUUAAAUAAUGAACCAAAUAUUUUUUGAUGUUUCGUCAUUUCAUUUUCCAUUACAAAACAAUCCAAUUUCAUUUUUCAUUCUUAUUCCAAUUAUGAACCAAACAUGUAUGUCCUUAAUGUAAUUGCUUUUUCCAGCGAACAUCUAGUUAAAUACACAAAAACACAUGUAUGUGUGUUGGAUUGUAAGUAGUGGAUGAUAAAUCAAGUGAUAAAUUUAAAUUUUUAAAAGUUUAGAAUAUAAAUUACAAUUUCAAUAGAGUUUAGAUGAUUUUCGUUUUUUUUCAAGCCUAAAUUGGGCUUAUAAAGGUUCUCCGGUUCGCCCAAAUUAAAAUCUAUUCUCAGGCAUGCUCCGUUCUUGGGGUUUAGGGUUUAAGUUACUAUAGUUUGAUAAUUUUCUGUAGAAUUUUUUUUUAUUUUUAUUUUAAGGCAUUAAAAAGAAAAUUUCGGGAAUGAGGUCCAUAUUUUGCUUUUUUAGGCCCUCAUAUGUUGAGGCCAUUAAGGGCCCAUUUGACUAUACUUUUGUUUUAACUUCAAGAGCAUUUCACAAAAAUAAUAAAAAUCUAGAGCUUUUGUUGUAAUGAAAGGGGAAAAAACUUUUUCGAGGCCUUAGAGUAGAAUUACCAAUUUGAUUAUUUUGAUCUACUAUAGGAAAAAGCUAAAAAGGAUAUUAAUAAGCAGUGAAAAGUAUACAUUAAUAUUAAUUGUGCAUUAAUUGUAAUACUAAACAUAAACAAGUGCCAACGCGCGUCAUAACUCUUUUCAUAUCCUCCCACAUAAGGAUUGUUAGCUACUUAUUAUUAGGUAAACUAUAUAGGUCCAAUUUUCUGUCCCGAGAUAAUCGGUCCAAAAAAUUAAUAAAUUGAGUGGGGUUGCGAUCCACAAUAAACCUAAUGGUAAGAGAUUCAAUAAUAAACCUUACGUCCAGAUAGGUCGAGUCAGGUCGAAAUUCCUUGAGUGCUAAAAUUAAGCCUUUAAGUGCGACGGAUACGUCCUUUCUAUCAGUACGUGUUUUUGAGAUAGUUUAUUAGUGCUUACAAUUCAUAAGGAUAGCCAGAUAAUAGUUUUGAUUGUCGCUCUAUGUCCAUCAAAUAUGUGCUGUACCAUGAAGUUUUGGCUUUGCAAUCCUAAAUUUUUUGGUUUUUAGUAGCCUACAGGUAUCAAUGAAAAUAUGUCUCUAGACUAAACCCAGCCAGUCGAAAUAUAGUCUGUAGUCUAUGUCGCCAUGAAACUCCUUGACAAAAUCUAUAUAUAGCUCUUUGGUUAUCUCCAGGUUUGGUAUAAGAUGUGCUAAUUUGGGCUUGCUGUGAACUCUUUUGAAUUGAUUGUGGUAUGGCAAGAGGUAAAUUAAGAUGGGAAAUUUAUUAAAUAUAAGUAAAUCCUAAAAAUCUAAAAGAGAUUACUGAAACAAAUUUAUAAAAAUAAUAAGACUAAAAUACAGAAUAUUCCUCUAUAAAUAAUCGCUUUCUCACUUUAUACCUUGUUUUUUCAAAACCUCUACUUUGCCUUAUUAAAAUUUGAAGUGGUAGACCGACCGUCCCUAGCGCAAGUGGCAAAAGGGCUGGGUGGUUGGUAACCGAGACCCAAGUUUGAAUCCUAGUUGAUUCACAUUUCCAGCUAAGUUUAUUUCUAAAUAAAAUAAACGAAGCGGGUAGCAUGCUACCUUUCUCUUAAAAAAAAAAAAAAUAAAAAAAAAAUUGAAGUGGUAGCAAUUACCUUAGCAUUGUUAUAAUUUCGUUAUUAUUCUGUGCAUAAAUUAUGUGGUUGUUGGUGCCGUAAAAAACAGUGCCAUGUGGUAAAACAGUUCGAACGGCGUGAGGAAAACGAUGAGAGCGAGACAAAGAGUGACACGUGGAGUACGCCUAAAACGGAAGAACAGUUUAGGUGAGAGUGACUAAAGACAUGGAAGAAAGAUUUCGUGGCCAGCAAGGGAUCAGCCGAAACAUAACUCGAGGAAAUAGGGACGUGACCGAAGAAACUUCUACGAUGAGAUAUUAAACCAAUAACGGCAGGGAGGAGAAGAUAUUGCUAUAAAUAGAAAUAAUCGUGCUGUGAAAGGAGUCCUUCACACAAAUAAAAGACCAUAACAAAUUUUAAUUCCUUUUUUUGACAUUUGCAGUUUUUUUUAGAGAUAGUUCAGAGAUUGUCUUGUUAGUUCUCUUUUUCAGAGCUUAGUUAAGAGUGUCAUUAAGUAGUUCUCUAGGAGUAGAUUCUAUUUCUAUAACAACAUUUAUAAUUCCGCUUUCUCGAUAAAUAUAAACAGUUCGGCUCAUUCGGCCGAGCUUGCUUUUGAGUUAAUUGUGAAUAAUGGCGGAAGAACCCGGUUAAGCCGAUUCCUCCUCAAUCGAGUUGCUUGGUUCGCUAAUGAUGCAUUCGAUUGUCAUCCUAGGAGCUGACUCGUAUCCCAAAGAACAACCUGACUUCGUCAAUGCCUUGAUUCGGUCAGCGUCGCCCUGUAUUUGGUUUCUAGUCCAGCAAUGGUACAACUAAGAAAGUAUUAAUAAACUUAUUAAAUUUUAACGAUGAAAAAAAAUAGUAAAUAGGCGGGGAUCUCUCAUAAUGUUACUUAAUUUGGUGGGGCAAAAUAUAGAAUUUUUAUUAAAGAAAGGCAUGUAAAAUGGAAAAGCGGAUAUAUAGGGCGAUUUUCUUUAUUUUUUUUAGUCAAAUAAUAAAUUUUAAAAAUUUUAAAAAUAAGAUUUGAAAUUCUAAUUAAUUUUCUGCUGCACCAGUUACGGGACGACGCCACUGCAGAUGCCAGAUAGCUCGAGGGUUGCAAUCAGUGAAGCUUGGUUGGACAUGAAGAGUACUGGAAAACAUGCAUGGAUGUGAUUAAAUACCAGCUUUAGAAUUAGUGCAUUGUCAUAUGUUGAAUAUAUAUCUAUACUCUUAUAUGAAUCCCCAAUAUCAAAUAAUGACGCGACAAGCUCUCAUUUUUUUUAUAUCUUUUUAAUUACUUUAUUUUAUUUUUUAAUUAUUCUUUUUUCAUUUUUUUUUACCGUAAACCUCUUCACCUUUUAAUAGUUCUAACUCUUCUCCUCUUCUUUAACGUCCGCCUUUUUACCUUCCAAUAAUCCCACCUUCUCUCUCUUUAUUAUUGUAAUUAAUUAAUAAUUAAUUUUUUCUUCUCUAUAUGUCUCCAUUAAUUUUUUCGUUCUGCAACUUUUGCUAAAUCUCUUUCACCCUCUCCCUCUCCCGUAAAAGUCGUCCGUUUUCAUCAGUGUCGCAUUGCGUCGAGUCCAUAGAAUCCGCAGAUCCCGUCGUGUAUUUGGUGGCAUGGGGAUGGCAGUGGUGGUAGAAGAUAAAGAUCUUGGAUGCGGCGGCGGCAUCGAUGACGUAAGCAGAAGAGAGUGUAUGGAUAUAUAAUCAACUUACUACUGAUAAUAUAUAUGGUAAUAAUCAAGUGAUCAUAAUUUUGCUUUUUCUUUAAUAUUUUUUUUUAACUACCCUCUCGAUCUAUUAGUUUUUUUCAAUUUCUUUUAUAGUUAUUUAGAAUUUUAGAUGUAUGUAAAAUUAUUAAACAAUAAGCUGAUAGAAAAUAUAUUUUUUUUUAUAAGAUUUGUUUCUAGAAUUAGAUGUUCUUUUAACGAAUUUGCAUGUAUGUUAUAAAUAAUUUCUUAUCCCAAUUUACAAUUUUAUAUAUACACUGAAUAAUUUUAAAAAAUUUACUAUUAUACAAUUAAAAUCUAAUUCAACAAAUACAAUUUAAAUCAUAUUAAAGUUUAUAUAUGAAAAUUUUAUAGCAACUUGAGCUAAUUUUAUUUAAAUUAUUUUUAUUUAAAUUAAUUAAAUUAUUAAUCUGGCUAAUAAUUUUAUUUAAAUUAAUUUGUUAUUCCUUUAUUUUACGUCCCUAUUUCUUUCUCUCUUUUUUUUCUUUCUUCAUUACCUUACUGUAUUUUUUUUGAUAUAUGUACAAUUUAAGGCUAUCAUCGAUGAUCAACAAUGAAAAACAAAUCGUUUCGAUAAUAUCUGUUCGCUGCAUCGUGCGGAUAACUAUAAUGGUAAAUAUUAAAUAGUGUAGAGGAAUUAAUUUUAGGAUAUAAUGAAGGGUAUUAGAUGUGACUCGAAAUUAAUAAUCGACUUCGGAUUGGAUCGGAUCCGAAACCUGUUAAAAAUUUUUUCUUUCUUUUUUUUUUUUUCCUAGAGGUGACAGAUCGUGAUUGGUUGUAUCUUGAAUAUAGUAUUCCCUUUUUUGAUAGUGAAGCUUUCUCCUCCCUACUUGUGAUUUUUCCUGCAAAAUAUUUUUCACGUAAAUCUAUGUGUUUUUUUAUUUUAUUUUUGUUUGUUAUUUGAUUAUUUCAUGUUCACCAUUUUCGUUUCCGUUUGUGUCUUUGUCGUAACAAAGAGAGGGGCAAUAGUUGUUGUAAAGGUGUAGUAAUAGCCAUGAGAGGUAACGACUCCUUAUUUCUAGAGUACUUGAUGAGGGUUGGAAAGUAAAUGGUUUUGGGGUUCUUUGUUAAUAGGAAGAGCAAUAAGAAAUAAGAACAAGUGAGGAGUGAGAAGCUUUUUUUUAAAAACAAAUGUAUGUUAGGGUGUUAGUUAGGAGGAAGUCUAUUGCGUAACAUUUACACGACAUCGGCAAUAACCAACCAAUCAUAUUCUCUUUAUGCGAAAAAGUAUAAUAAAAAUAUUUUUUUAAUAACCAUGAUAGUAUGAGUGAACCCAAAGAAAAUAAUCUGAUUGAUUGGAGACACCACAUUAGCAGUAUAAUUGGGGCAUUCUAGACUUUUUCGUUAACUAGGGUUAACUAGCUAGGGUGUUAGCUGGUAUAGUUGCUGCGAUAAAUAAAGUACGUAAAUGCUACUUAUACGCCCUGUAUAGGAAUAUACAUCUUACGCCCUUUAAUCUUAGGAUUCACAAAUUUUUAAUGGGUUUUAGUAGAAGAAAAAAAAUUGAUAAGACAAGUGAAUAAAUAUAAGCCACGAAAUAUCUAGGGUGCAAGUUUUACACCUAAAUCAUAGGUGUACAGAUAGCAUUUGCUUUAACAUUAAAGUGUGUAACUGACCGUCCUUAGACCCAGUGGCCAAGGGCUUGGUGGUUGGUAUCCGAGAUCCCAAAUUCGAAUCCUAGUUGAUUCACAUUUCUAGCUAAGUUUAUUUCUAAAUGAAAUAAACGAAGCGGGUAGCGUGCUACCUAUCUCUCAAAAAAAAAAAAAAAAAAAAAAAAAAAAAAAAAACAUUAAAGUGUGUAGAGAACUCCCUAGAUUAUAAGAUGAGUUGGGAUUUGCGCGCUUGUUUGGACAAAACAAGAGUUAGUAUUGAAUGGGAAGGAGUUCUCAUGAAACAUGAAUAAUCUAACCAAUAGCAAUGUAUUAGAAAUGUCGACGAUAAAUAUUAGCCUAAUUUUUCGAAAUAAAUAAUGCUUUCAUAUAAUCUGAAAUACACAUAUGUAGUCCAUAGCUUGGUGCUAACUUAAUUAUGAGCAUAAUUCGAUGAUAUUUAGAUUUGGAUCCCAAAGGUACCCCGAAACACAGAUAUGAUCAGAAUAAUUAAGUACUAUAUAUGUCAUGUAAAAACACAAGUACUAUGUCAUAUAAAAAUUUACAAGGAUCGAACUAGUAAUUAAGUAAAGAGCUGGCAUUUUUUUUGUGAAAUAAAAGAGGCAAUGUUCCAACCAUGAUCAUUGAGAAAAGUAAUGAAGUGCGAGCUUGUGAACUCAUUACACCAUUAGAUCGACGGAAAAUUAACACAAUCUAGUAAAAUGUUAAAAAUUCGGAGAAAAUUUCAGGUUUUGCAUAAAGAGAAAAUAUCCAAAUAUAUAGAACGAGCAUGCUCAUUGAGGAAAUUAAAGAACAUAGUAAUUAUUUAACGAAGGCGCGAUUUAUUACAAGUACAGGAACCGACAGACUCAACGUGCAUGCUUUCCAAAGCCAAGGAGAAGGUGCAGUACAUGAGAUACAUUUAUAUUUAUUUCUAUAUAACAAGGACAUGAUCGACUUGAGAAUUAACAUGCGCCAAACAUUGUUACCGUAUAUAGUAGCCAUAUGCCGAGUUGCAUCAAACGAAGAAUGAGGAUCUUCGUUAGAGAACGGAUAUGUAGGCCUUGAUUACUGCACCUAAAAGGGUUUGCUUCCAUCCUUCCAUGAUCCUUCACACAAAAGAAUUGGAUUGUGAAAAUUUGAAGACAAAAUCCUUAUCAACAACAAAAUUCUUUCUAACUUGGAGAAGAUUCUUUCAAAGAGUUGGAACUAAAACAAAAUUAUCUAUAGCAAAUGCAGUGGAAGGUGUGUGUAAAGUAGAAGAUCCAAGCAGUAAUAGCUAAAAGAGUCAAACCAAUGCCAUUGCAAAUUUUAUCACAAGCAUAAAAUUGAGAAGAAAAAAAAAAAGAUUACCCAUAUUAGAAGCAUAAAAUUGAGAAGCACCGGGAUUAGGGCACCGGUUAGAAUCCACAGGUUGUUGUCCGGCCCGUGAUUGAUUACCAGUAGAGUUGCGUGCCUGUUGUACUACUCCUCUACCACAAAAGCCAAUUUUUUAUGCGCGCGAUUAAUAUUAGCAUAUGAAGAGACAAGGAUUAACUACAAGGAUUAGGAGAACAACGUGAGGCAAGACGUGCUUCACAGCCUUCUAAUAUGAGCGCUCAAGUACGCUUGAAAGAUAACAAAGGUAGUUAAGCAAUUAAAGUAUUGACUAGACGAAAUCAUUUCAAGCAUGAUAAUCUAAUUGUAUGAAGAAAAUCUUGAAGACCUUUGAUAUUGUGGAAAUAACUAGAUAUGGAAUAAGUAUCUUUGGAAAGGUUAGUGUAACGUCCUAAUCCCCUAACACAAAUAACACGUUAUGUCCAAACUACAGGCGCCACUCAUCGGCAUUAAUAACUAGUUGGAUCUAAACUACCGGCGCCACUAUAUAUAUAUAGUAUUAAGCUCCUAUACUUUUAAAAGAACAAGUUAUUGGUGCUUGUAGCUUUUGGCCUUUGGAUGAAGACUUGUAGGGUUAGGAUAAUUGUAAUCCUCUAAGGUUGAGUGGGUGGUUGGUGAAAUAACAUAAUCUAAAAAGUGGAAUUGAUCAAAAGGAUAGAUCUAACAAUGAAAAACUUACAAAUACCAAAUGCUUGAUACUUUUAUAAGUACCAAAGCCGGACUCUCUCUCUCUCUCUCUCUCUCUCUCUCUCUCUCUCUCUCUCUCUCUAUAUAUAUAUAUAUAUAAAUACACACGCGCACGCACACACACAUAUAUAUACACAUAAAAGGCUACUGUACUAUCUAUAUAUAUUACAGAGCCUCCGACACUUUAGUCUUGUUUUUUUUUAUCAUAAAAUGUUCAAAUCAAUGGUCCGCAUCAUUAAAUAUAAUUUUGGAUAUAAUAAGUUGUUAGAAAUAGAAUUUUAUAUUUUUUCAACGUCAUUUACUUAUUAAAUAAAUUAUUUCAAAAUAAACAAUAGAAAUUAGACAAUCUUUAAAAUUGUGAAUAGAAUUUUAAAUUCAAGAUCAAAGAUGUUGAUGCUGAUCUAGAUAGUUUAAAGUAUUUUCUAUCAACUUUUGAAUAAUUUAGAUUCUUUUACGCCGUUAAUUACAAACUCGUCGUAAUAGCCAUUGAAAUUAGUAAUUUUAAAAUGAUUUGAUUAUAAAGUAAAUGAUGUCGAAAACAUAUAUAUGAAAUUUUAUUGUUAAAUACUUUAAAUACCCUAGAAUAGUUUUAAUAGUGCGGAAAGUUGAUUUGAACAUUCUAAGAUCGAAAACAAGAUUAUAUUAUUGGAACCUUGAUUUGAUAUAUAAUAAUAUAAAUAUAUAUCAAUUCUAUAUAUAGUAUAUAAGUAUAUGUAUAACUUACCUAUAUCUAGAUAGUUAUAAUGUAAUUAUAUGUAAUGUACAGUACAUCUUCAUAUAUAUAUAUGAUACAUGUUACAUUACAUAUAUAUACUAUGUAGCAUGUACAAUAUAUAUAUAUAGAUACAUGUAACUGACAAAUGUACAUAUAUAAAUAUACACUGUACAUAUAUGUACAUAUAUGACGGUACACUAUAAUAUAUUCCAGUACAUUAGCAUAUACAUAUAUGAUAUACUAAACUUAUAUAUAUUAGAUGUGGUGUGUAUAUAUAUAUAUAUAUAUAAUAGUAUAUAUAUGAUAAUAAUGUAUAUGUCAUAUACAUAUAUAUAUAUAUAAUAUAAAAUAUAUAUAUAAUAUAUAUAUAGUAAUAAUAUAUAUAUAUGUAUAUGUAUAUGACAUAUGUAUAUGUACAAUAAUUCCAUAAAUACCAUAACAUAUACAUAUACAUAUAUAUACUAAUAAUAUAUAUAUAAUUAUAUAUGUACAUACAUAAUAAUAAUAUAUAUAUAUCUAUUGUACAUAUGUAUAUUGUACAUACUGUACAUAUAACUACAUAUAUAUAUAUAUAAUAUAAUAUAUAUAUAUUUAAUUAGAAUAUAUAUAUAUAUAUAAUAAUAUAUGUACAUAUACAUGUAUAUGUACAUAUUAUACUGUUAUGGUUUUUGAAGGAACAUAUUUGUGAUGGCAAAAUUGAAAAAUAAAAACAGUUCGAAUCGACGAUAGGCUCUGUUAGACUUCAUCUAGUAUAUUUGAAGUAUCUAGAAAAAUAAAUUUUGUAAUUUUUCGAUAUUAUUUACCUAACGAUCGAAAAGAUUCAGUAUCAACUGUUGAAAAUAAAAAUCUCACAAAAAGUGGUGAUAUAAAACUAAAAUUUUCGAUUAGAGAUAUUGAUCUUGCAGUAAAUAUUAUAAAAAAUUUUCUAUCAAAAUUUCAUCAGAUUUAAAUACUUCUACACCGUUAAAUUUGCAAACGAUAUACAUCAAUUAUUAAAAAUUAUUGAUGUUGAACCCUUUGAUCGCUAGCUAAAUGAUAUCGAAAAAUCGUAAAAUUUAUUUUGUAUAUAUUUCAAAUAUACUAGAUCAAGUUUAACGAAGCAAAUCGUCGAUUCGAAAGUUCAAUCAUCGAAGAUGGCUUAGGAGCAUGGAGGCCUUCGUGCUCCUAAUAGCACGCAAGACCUACUAUAUAUAUAUAUAUAUAUAUAUAUAUAUAUAUAUAUAUAGAGAGAGAGAGAGAGAGAGAGAGAGAGAGAGAGAGAGAGAGAGAGAGAGAGNNNNNNNNNNNNNNNNNNNNNNNNNGAGAAAAGAACGGAGAUGGGAACAGGAAAAGGAAAAAGAAAAGAAGAAGGGAGUUUUUUUUUUUGGGGCUUUACUUUUUUAAUAAUUUUUUAUGAAGUAUAAACCUCUUUUUUUGUUUAAAACUUAUUUUAAAAAAAAGUUUUUCCGAAAAAAUCGUUUAAGGAAUUUUUUUCUUACUCCUUUUUGGGAACCAAUUUUUUUCAUUUCCCAUUUAAAAAAUUAGAUUAUUUUAUAAUUCAAAUUUCAAAAAAUUUUUAAAAAAAACCCCAACUCAAAAAAAAACCCUAGGUUGAAACAAAAACAAAAAAAAAUCAAAAAAAAAAUUUUCCUUUUAACUUUUGGGGACUAAACUAUUUUAAAAAUUUUUUUUUUUCCUAAAAAAAACCCCAUUUAUUUUCCUUCAAUCCAAAACGGCCGGAAAAAACUUUAUGGAGUAAAAAAAAAAAAAAAAAAAAGAAAAAAAAAAAACUUCUAAAUUAAACUUAUAAAAAACAAAGAGUAUAAAAAAAAUAAGUUCCUUAGGGCCUAUAAAUAUAUAUAUAUUAUUAAAAAACAAAUAAAAAUAAUAGUAUAUAUAAUAUAUUAAAAUAAUAAAAGAAAAGAAGAAGAAAAAAAAGAAGGAAGAGAGAAAAGGAAAAGAAAAGAAGAAAAAGGAAAAGAGAGAAAGAGAAAAGAAGAGAAAAAGAGAGAGAGAGAGAAAAAAGGAGAAAAAGAGUUUGGAAAAAAACUUUUGGAAAAUUUUAACUAUCGGUUUUUAAGCCCCCCAAAAAAAAAAAAAAAAAAAAAAAAACAAAAGGCUUUCCCAUUGGGCAAAAAAAAAAAAAAAAACCUUCAUUUUUUGUUUUUUCGGGGUGGAUGGAAGGCCUCCAAAAUCAAAACCCAAAAUUUUGGCUUAACCGUUUUGAAUAGUGGAUUUCUAAAUUUUUUUACCACUUUGAAGGUUAUCUUUUUAGAAAAAUCAAAAUUUUUUCCAUGGAUUUUCCGAUAUUUGUUUUUCUUUUUCUUUUGUUCCAUCAAAAAAACUUAUUAUUUGUUAAAAAAAAAAGAAAAACGGGGUUUUUUUUUUGAAAAAAAAAAAAUUGAAAAAAUUAAAAAAAAAUCCCCCACUAAAAAAAAAAAAAAAAGGUUUGAUUUUUUUUUUGGAAAAUUUUAAAAAAAAAUUUUUGUUAAAAUCAAAAGAAUCGAGGGGAUUUUUGAUAAAGAAAAAAAAAAUCUUUUGUUCUAAAAUUUAGGUUUUUAAAAAAAAAAAAAAAGGAAAUUUUUUCUAAAAAUUUUCAAAAAAAAAAAAAAAAAUUUUUCAAAACAAAAAUUGAAUUUUUUUUGGGAUAGCUUUACACCGGUUUAAAAAAAAAAAAAAGAAAAAAAAAAAAAAAAAUAAAAAAAUGGGCUUUUUCCAUUCUAUUUUAAAUUUAAAAAAAUUUUAACCAAAAAAAUUUUUGAAAAAAAAAAAAAAACCAAAAUUUUUUUGAUCAUUUUUUUAGGUUCAAUUUUGGAUUGUUUGAAAAAAAAAAAAAAAAAAAAAUUUUUUGGAAAAAAAUUUGGGUUUUUUCUUAAAAAAAAAUUUACUUUUUAAAAAAAAAGUUUUGGUAUUAAAAGAAUUUUUUUCAUUUUUAAAAUUUCAACAAAAGGUUUGCCGGAAUCGUUCGAAAUUUUAAAAAAAAGGGCUUUUAAACAAAAAUUCCAUCGAAAAAAAAAAACAAAAAUAAAAAAUUGGGGUGGGCAAAAUUGGGAAAAAAGCCUUGUUUUUUGCUUUUUACCAAAUUAGGCAUUCCAGCUCAACUCUCUCUGUCUCUUUCUCUCUCACUCACUCACUCUCUCUCUCUCUCUCUCUCUCUCUCUCUCUCUCUCUCUCUCUCUCUUCUCUCUCUCUCUAUAUAUAUAUAUAUAUAUAUAUAUAUUAUAAUAUAUUUAUAUAUAUAAUUAUGUUACUAUACUAUCGAUAGCUACCAAGUAUUUUGUACUAUCGACUUUUCGUCAUUGGAUGAAAGCGAUGUGCGGUUAGGAUGAUAGUGGUCUCCCAGGAUUGGGAGUGGGUGGUUGGUUGAAUGGUAUAUCUAAUGGAUGGAAAUGAUCAAAGGGUAGAUCUAACGUAGAAAACUCAAAUAGGUACAAGAGUUUGAUACUAUCGAUAGUAUAGUAGUUAGACUCUCUUCUCUCUCUCCUCUCUCUCUCUCUCUCUUCUCUCCUGCUCUCGUUCUAUAUAUAUAUAUAUAUAUAUAUAUAUAUAUAUAUAUAUAUAAUUCAGCUACUAUCCUUUUAGGAAGACAGAUGCCUUCGUCCUAUCAAGUCGUUUUAGAUGAUAGGGAUUUCAAAUCUAUGGUCGGAACCGAUAAAGUUGAUCUAGAGUAUUUAAAGUGUCUAGAAACUAAAUUUAUAAAUUUUAAAAAUUAUUUAUGUAGUGAUCAAAGGUUCACAAAAUUGACAGUUUUUUACGGCCUAUAUGAGGUGUUUGCUUGUUUAACAGUAUAGAGAAAUCCAAACCACUUGAAUUUUCUAAAGAAAAUUCUUUAUAUUAUUUAGAUAACAUUUAAUAACUCUUACUAUAAAUUGAGAAAGUCUAACCUUUAUUUUCAUAUGAUUAUUCGUUUUUACUAUUUAUUUUUUGACUCUUCGAUGGACUUGAUAAUAAUUUUUAAAAAUUACAAUACUUGGUUUUUAAGUUUUUCUAAUAGUGUAGAUCAAUUUCAAUAGUGCUGAUUAUCGAUUCGAAAUUUUGAUUAUCUAAAGUAAUUUGAUAGGACAAAAACUUCUAUCCUCUUAAGUGGAUAGUAGUUGAACUCUCUCUCUCUUUAUAUAUAGUUCAUCCAAAAUACUAUUGAUAUAUAGUAAAUGAAUAUUAUUUACUAUCAAUUUUUUUCCUCAUGAAUCAUUCCACUUACCACCACUAAACUCUAAGAUUUCGUUCGGUUCAGAUAUAAGUAAAAACUAUUUAUUCUAGGGAUAGGUACAAGUUCAGAUAUAAGUAAGAACUAGACCAAUUUUGCGUUUGGAUGAAAAUUGGGUUGUUCCCGGAAAUAAAAAAAAUAAGGUUUGGAUAAAAAUUGGGUUGUUCCCGGGAAUAAGAAAAAUAGUGUUUGGAUAAAUAAGAUGUAAUAAGAAAAAUAGUGGAUAGUUAUAAAUAAAAAAUAAUGAUAUUACUCCUCUCAUUAAAUUUGAAUUUAAAUUUUUAAAUUUUUAAAUUUUAUUUUAAAAUUUAAAUUUUUAUUUUUUAAUUUCAAAUUUUAAAUUUAAAAUAUAAAAUAUUAAAUCUCAAAUUGUAAAUAUAAAAUUUAAAUUUAAGAUCAAAUUUAAAUUUAAAAAUUAUAAAAUAUUAAAUUUUAAUUUGAAAAAAUAUAAAAUAUCAAANAUAUAUAUAUACACAAUCUAGCUACUAUCCUUUUAGGAGGACUGAUGCCUUCGUCCUCUUAAGUCCUUUUAGAUGAUAGGGAUUUCGAAUUGAUGAUCGGAAUUAUUAAAGUUCAUCUAGAGUAUUUAAAUUGUCUAGAAACUAAAUUUUAUGAAUUUUAAACUUUAUUUACACAGUGAUCAAAUGAUCACAAAAUCAAUAGUUUUUAAUGGCCUAUAUGAGUCUUUUGUUUGCUUAACGGUGUACAACAAUCCAAACAGCUUGUUUGAAUAGAAAAUUCUUUAUACUAUUUAGAUAAUAUUUGAUAAUUACGAUUAUGAAUUAAAAAAGUCUAACAUCUAUUUUUACAAGAUUAUUUAUUUUUGACCAUUCAUUUUUUGACUCUUUAAUGAACUUGAUAACGAAUUUUAAAAUGUAUAAAAUUUAGUUUUUAGAUGUUAUAAAUACUCUAAAUCAAUUUUAACAGUUUUGAUCAUCGAUUCAGAAUUCCUAUCAUCUAAAACGACAUAGAAGGACGAAGGCCUCCGUUCUCCUAAAAGGAUAGUAGGUGGACUCUCUCUCUCUCUCUCUAUACAUAUAUAUGAAUUAGUUUUGUUAGAAUACUUCUACAAGUAAAGGGGGCAGUUUACUUCCGCAUUAUUUCCAACGAUGAAAAAUCCGAUCGAAUAUGAUGAUUAACUCUUUUAAAUAUUAUCUAGUCUAUUUGAACUUCUUAGAAAUCAAAUUUUAUGAUUUUAUUUUGCUUAAUGCUCAAGUGCUGUCAAAUUCUUUUUACAUUAGCCACUAAAAGUUUUCGAUCUUUAAACCACCUAAAUGGUUGGUAAAUGAUUUAGAAAAGUAAUGAAAUUUGAAACAUCUAAGAAAGUUCAAAUACUCAAGAUCAUGUUUGAUAGUGCCGAUUGUCGAUUUGGUUUCCCUAUUACGAAAAAUAAUGCAGAAGUAAACAAUCCUAUUUAUUUCUAGAAGUAGUCUAGCCUAGUUCUUUCUAGCUUUCUCUCUCUCUCUCUAUAUAUAUAUAUACACACACUACAUAAUAUUAUAUCUUUAACAUAUAUGCAUGUCAAUUAUGAGCCUUCCCAAGGUGAGAUGCUUUAAUCCACCAUUCAUAGGGCUUUAAGUUCUGAGUGCUACGCAAUAAAUGAAACACAACAGAUUAAACCAUAUAUGCAUGUCAAUUAUGAGUCUUCCCAAGGUGAGAUGCUUUAAUCCACCAUUCAUAGGGCUUUAAGUUCUGAGUGCUACGCAAUAAAUGAAACACAACAGAUCUAAACCAUGCAUUAUACCACCAUAGGUAGGCUCAACAUAUAAUUUUUGUUCCUUACGGAGUUGGCGAAGCUUGACCUCCCGGUGGAAUGCAAGGUAGCUCGGUCGGCGGAAUCUGUUCUAAAGGGAAUGAAGGCAGCGAAGAUUGCGCAGGCGGCGGUGUACCUGAUGCAAUUCAACAUAAAUAGUUGACCCAAAGAUGUGAACAAAACUUCAAUGGAAAGCCCUUUAUGGAGUUGGAAAACCUUGGCCUCCCGGUGAACUGCGCGGUGGGGGAGGACUUUGAGGCCAUCCUCGGGCAGCAUUGUUGGUUGGUGUUCCGGGAUACCAUGGAAUCUGCCCUAAAUAAGAUUGAGGCGACAAAGAUUGCGCAGGCGGUGGUGCAGCUGAUGCAAUUUAACAUAACUAGUUAACCCAAAGAUGUGAACAGAACUUCAAUGAAAAGCUCCCCAGCGCGCGAGGCAGCUGGUGUGAGCUAUCAGAUCGCCUGAAAUUGUGAGACAACGGCACUGGUAUAUAGCUAGGUACAUCUUAUGAGCUGCACCCACUGUUUGAUGAUCAAUCUCUUAAAAUCAAAAUCUAAUCCGAUUUAAAGUGCAAUGUAUAAAAAAUUACAAGCAGAUCUAAAAGAUCAUUGUUUGGUUAAUUAGAAAAUAGGUGUCUUGCUUUGAUUGUUGUAGCUAGAACCCAUCUAGUGAUUUAAUUUUUGACUACAAAUUCUCUAUUUUAGGAUCUUAUUAUUUUAUGCAUGCAGUAGUUUUGUGUGUGUGUGUGUGUGUGUGUGUGUGUGUGUGUGUGUGAGAGAGAGAGAGAGAGAGAGAGAGAGAGAGAGAGAGAGAGAGAGAGAUCAAUGACCUUUUUUGUUAGGGUCAUUCCCGGCGGCCAAUGCAUGAGGGAGGAAAAUGAUGGAGACGGUGAGGAAAAGAACGAAAAUGGUGGGGAAUACUGCCGUUGAAGCCAUCCUAGCUAGUUCAGCUGGAGAUGGAAGCUGCAGGUGGUGAAAUGUUGGCCUUUUAUAGUACUGUUGUCAUGGUCUGAAAUUUAUAACCGAACAAGCUAAAUUGCAUAUGAAUCCCUGUAGAUAUCAUAUUUUACAUAUUGCCCUGGAAAUUUAAAAUGGGAAAAUGUUACUUGUACACACAACCCAUCCAAGAGUUUAUAAACUACUUUGCUGUUAUGGGAUUUUAAUAUUAGUGAAUGAUAAGACUUAAUUAUUUAUACCUGUACAAUAUUUCUCAUAGAGUUUGCCAUGUGGUAAUUCCUCCUUCAACCUCCCUCCCCCUUCUCACUUUCUAAUGCUUUGUCUUUCCAUCUCAUCUCUACUCGAUGCUUUGUCUUUCAACCCGCCCAUUUUUUAAUUAAUGCACGUAUUCACAUAGUCCAUUUUCAUAUAAACAAAUUACUUAAAAAAAAGAGUAAAAUAAGAUCUCUUCAUACUCAUUUUUAUCACCUUUUUUUUUUUCUUUGUGCUUUUUCUUGAUGCACAAGAAGGGUUGAGUUUUUAUAUUUUUCUUAAUUUUUUUUCUAUUUUUUUAAAUUGUGUGGGGAUUGAAAUUAGGUUUCCUAGGAUUGCUGUGGCGCGGCGAGGUGAAGUGCGACAAAUUUGGAGUCGACUAGGGGGAAGAAGCGGUGGGUGUGGGGAGAUCCGUACGACAUUGAUGUGGCCGUGAUCAAGGAGAAGCGCGAUACUAACAAUGGCAGUGGAGGUGACACAAAGGAUGGAAAUCGCCUGUCUGAUCUCGAUAGGGCGAUGAAGGUGCGUAUGGAGUAAUAACUCUAUUAUUGCUUCUUUCAUUAUUGUUAUACAUAAUUUAUUUGAUGUUGUUACUUUUACUACAUUUGUAUAUAUUUAUUUUAUAUUUUUUAUUUGUAUCUAUUAAUGUCUCAUGACAAAUCAAAAAAUUUUAAAAUUUUAACUGUGUCAAUCUUUUAUUUUCUAUAGUAUUAGCCCACCGCAAUGCGUGCGUAACUUUACUUGAAAAAUUAUUAUUCUUGAAAUGAUAAGGUGUAAAAUAUACACUUACUCUCUCUCUCUCUCUCUCUCUCUCUAUAUAUAUAUAUAUAUAUAUAUAUAUAUAUAUAUAUAUGAGUAGAGUUACUAUGCUAUCGGAAGUAUAAAAUAGUUGAUGCUUCCGAUUUUUUAGCCCUUAGAUCAACCCCAUUGAUUAUUUCUAAUCAUUGGAUUAAUAUUAUUAACUAAUGGGAACCACUCAACCCUAAAGGGACCGCUAUUAUCCCAACUGUAGAAUCUUUGAUUCAAGGGCUAAAAAAUCGGAAACACCAACUACAAUUAUGCUUCCGAUAGCAUAGUAGGUUUACAUUAUAUAUAUAUAUGGUGUCAACGAGCGGAAUACGAGUGAGCUGGGAUCUGCUCGUGUUCGGCCCGAACACGAACUUACUCGUUAAAGUAUCGAGUUGAAAAAUUUAGCUUGUGUUCGGCUUGUUUAUUAACGAGCUGAAUACGAGCCGAACAUUAGUUGGCUCACAAACAAUAAGUUAAAAGGAUUAGAAAGGAUACAUAUAGAAAAUAAAUUUAUGAGAUUGUACCCAUCAAGUUUUGAUCUAAUGGUUGAAACUUAAUUUACAUAUACAUGAGUAUUUUUAUAAUUGAGUUCGGCUUUAUAUUUAGGUUGGACUAAAAAUUAAAUAAUAAAAAUUUAUAUUAUAUAUAUAAUUAUUUAUUUAUUUAUAUAAAUAUAAAUUAUAUAAAUAUAAAAUAUAUGUAUUCGAACUUUUUUCGAGCCGAACACGACCUGGCUCGCGAGCAGCGAGCUGGAUUGCCACCCCUAUAUAUAUAUAUAUUUAUAUAUAUAUAGGAUCUGGCUACUAUACUAUUAUGAGUACGAUCGCCCUCGUACUCAUAAGUUAUUUUCGAUGAUAGAGCUUCCGAAUCGACGAUCCACACCGUUAAACGUUAUUUAUAGUAUUUAAAACUUCUAGAAAUCAAAUUUUAUAAUUUUUCGAUAUCAUUUACCUUACGAUUAAGAGGUCACAAAUUUCACAAUUUUUAACGGGCGGUAUGGGAUACUUGCUAGUUUAAUGGUGUAAAAGAAUCGAAAUUUAUUGAAAUUUUGAUAGAAAAUUCUAUUCACUAUAUAGAUAAAGAUCAAUAACUCCAAUCUUAAAUUGAAGGAUCCCAUCAUCCAUUUUUAGGACGUCGUUCGAUUUUAACCAUUCAUUUUAUGCUCACUUGAUGGACUUUAUUAUGAUUUCGAAAAUUUACGAAAUUUAUUUUCUAAAAGUUUCAAAUACUAUAGAUCAUAUUUAACGGAGUGAAUCAUCGAUUCGAAAGCUCCAUCAUUGAAAACAACUUAUGAGUACGAGGGCUCCAAUACUCAUAAGCUAUGGCCUAUAUAUAUAUAUAUAUAUAUAGCAUUGGUUUUCAAAUAUUCUUUUAAAAUAUUUUAAAAUAUCCUUGUAAAAUAUCCUAUUAUAUAUAGCUAAUUGUACUACUUAAUACGUUUCAGUUUAUGUUUAUGAGUUGGUUCAUAAUUUUCUUUGUUGCCUAUGUCGGUUUAAUUAUCUUUGUUUAUUAUUCAGAGCCAUGUGGUUCUUACAUAUAUUGAUCUUAAUUAAAGAUGGUCAGCUAAAAUUACAAAUAUAUUUCAUUUUUUUUUCUAAUAUUAUUCUUUACUUUAGCAUUAGUUUUUUUAAUUCACUAGAUGUGUAGUUUGUUUUUCUGUAGUUAAAUAGGUUUGAUUUAGUAUAUACUCAACCACUAUUAAAUUGUUUUAAAUGCAAGUUAUGUUUGGGACGAGGCAUUGGUGAUAGAAAAUGGGCAUUUGUUUUUGGGUGAUUGUUACAAUUGAUUAGUUUCUCCAAAUUGGAGGGUGGUAGUUUGUCUAACGCCUCACUUCUGAGGGGUCGUCUAUCUUAAAAUUAUUCUAAUGUUAAACUCGCUCAACUCUUGUAACUUUUUGAAUAUAACUACGUACCAACCAUUUUUUUUUUUUAGAGAGAUUUUGUUUAUUUCAUUUAAAAAUAAACUUGUCUGAAAAUGUGAAUCACUUAGGAUUCGAACUUGAAACCUCGAAUACCAACCAUCAAGUCCUUUACUAUUUGCGCUAGGGACGGUCGGUACCACCCAAAAUAUUAUAGCUAUAUGUUUAGCCACUCUUAACCUUUUUGGCCUAAACACUGCUCAAAAUAUUAUAGCCGAAUUAAGAGGUUUAUCUGUAUUAUAACAUAUAUAUAAGACUAUUCCAAAUCCUAGGAUUGUCGCAUUCCUCUACUUUAAGCUCUGACGUCUUCGUCAGACUCAAGUACACUCACAAGUAUCAGAUGAUGUGAGAUUCGUCUCGUUAGCCUUAGCCAACCUUGUUGGGAGGCGGGCUUCACUCGUAACGGUCGUCAACCAUGGAACCGUGCUUUGUUCAUUUUAUAACUCAACCAAGAGUUAUCCCAUACUUUGGGCUAGUGAUUGAUUCUCAUACCAACCGUGACGUCCGCUUUCCUGUAGAAUCACCUAUCCUUUAUUAUUAUAGACCUAAUUUCGCUCAACUCUUUUAGCCUCUUGAACCUAACCACCGCCCAAGAGGUUUAGCCAUACAAUUAUACUAUAUGUAUACAACUAUUUCAAAUCUUAAGGAUGUCACAUUUUAAGAGAAGCUUCGUGUUAUUAAGGGUUGGUAAAAGAGUACACAUAAAAUUAUUCCUUAAAAACUAUUUUUCAUCAUUUUGUAGUUGACAAACUAAUGAUAAAAUAUCAGCGGCAAAACGAGAGGUCUAGAGGGCCGGAAAAAUGUCAAGGACUUGCCAUGUAACUCUUACCGCUAGUAAUAUUAUAUAAUUAUAUUUAGUAUUUUUUGACAUUUUAUUAACAUUAAAAUUACAAAAGCAGAUAAAACAUUUGCAUAAUAAAAUUGAGUAGGAACUUUUUUUUUCAUAUUUUAAAUAUUGAGGGUCGCAAAAUGUGAAACACAAUAUAUAUAGUUUUUUUUUUAAAAUUCAUCCAAAAGUGGGACAGUCUCAUAGGUAUCCUUCUAAAGUAAUGAACUUUCACAUAAUUUAAUUUCCCGGGUAAUUUAUAUAAAAGUCUCUAGCAUUUUAAGACAUUUUAAAGAAGUCCUUAUCUUUCAAUUUGUUUAUAUAAGUUCCUAGUUUUUUUUUUCUAGUUUCUACUGAGCAUCUUUUUAGAAAUCUGAGAAGAUAUACUAUCAGCAAAGUACUAAUUCAAUCCCUUUUUUUUUAUUUUUUCUCUCAGUAACUUUCAUGUUUAAUAUUAAAAUUAAAAAUAAUCUAGAUUACAAAAACUUAAAAUGUCAUUCAUGUGUAAUAUGAAAUUUAUGAGUAAAAGUUAUUUAUAUAGUCGUUUUAUUUAAUUUAACAGGGGUAGUGAAUGGAAUACUUAUAAAAGUGAAUAUAUAGAACCAUUAAAUUUCAUGUCAUUUUUGUUAGGGACGUUUAACUUGAUGAUUGACACUAUUAAAAAUAAUCUAGAUUACUGAAACUAAAAAAAAAAAAAAUUUACUAUUUUUCGAUAUCAUUUACCUAAAUCAGGUUUAAUAUUUAAAAAUUAUAAAAUUUGAUUCUAAGAAAGUUUUAGCAGUCUAAGUUAUAUGUAACAUGUAGUGCUCAGAUCAUCCAUUGGGAUUCUCCAUCAAUGAAAAUAGCAAUUUGUUUUAUUGAAAUAUCUGUUUGUUUCUACAAAUUUAUGCAUCUAUAUAAAUAUGGAUGAAGUCUACUAUAUAACACUUAGAUCAUAUUAUUAAUACUCAGCCAAUCACAACUCUCUACUUCAGAAAAAAGAGUAAUAAAAAUUUUUUUCUAAUAACCAUGAUGAAACGAGUGAAUCCAAAAGAACAAUCUAAUUGGUUUGAGACGCCUUAUAAUCAGGAAUAUGUAAUAGAUGCAUUUUAGACUUUUCGAGAAAGUCUAUUAUGUAACACUUACACUAUAUUAUCAAUAACAAGCCAAUCAUAUCUCUUUAUUUGAAAAAAAAAGUACAAUAAAAAUAUUUUUCGCAUAGUGUGUACCACAUUCGACAAAGGAGUAUUCCUUAUAACAAUUACAUGUAACAAUAUUACGUAAUGCAAGUGUCCUUACGUCUGUUAUGACAUCAUUGGACUAACGUAAUAUCUGAUUGUUUAUGUACAACUUACAAUUAAGGAAUUAAAUAUGUUUUCUAUUAUUAAUUUAAUGUUCAAAGCUCGGUUGGUUGACCUUAAUUUGCUGGUAACUCAUCCUAGGGAGUGCAAUAUAGUAUUUGGUGGGUCAUGCGCGCACUACAACAAAAUUAGAUUUUAAGAACAUAUGUUUGGGACACUUUUGUGUAAGUGUCUCAUUUAUAUCAAAACUUAAAAAAAAAUCUACUAAUGUCUAAAUAUAAAGUUCAAUUCAAUCAAAAAUAAAAGGUUACUCUACUCAACCUAUCCUACCCAGCCCAUUCGGCCCGAUUACAAACAGAAAAAAAAAAUGAAAAAUCGAUUAUCAUCUCUCCUUCUCCCCCACUCAAUCCACUAAAAUUCUAGACGAAGAGCCAUUCCCUUUCGUCCUCCUCCGCUACCGCAGUCAACGAGAUAAAAUUUCGACGGUUGCUAAAUGUUUAAACAAGUGUUGAUAAAUUAGCAGCACUGUUUUUAUGUUAUAGCGACAUUUUUAACUGUCACUAUAUAUCUAGCAACCCCACAUAUAGCAAUACUUUUUAAAAGUGUCGGUAAUUUUAGCUAGCAGUAUUUUUUUGACAUGUACCUAUAUUUAAAAGUGUCGCUAUAAACCGUUUUUGUUGUAGUGCGUGUACAAUUGCAAAUAUUAUUUUCUUUCUUUUAAUUAUUUCAUGGUCAAAACUCGCAUGCUUAGGUUAUACAACCUAACCUUACGCAUAUGCAUACACCACACUUUUUUAAGGAUGGCUUGUAAGGGCAGCAUAACGGAGAUAUAUUUUAGGCGCUAUAAUUAAGUAAGUAGUACUUAACCAAAUUUUGUCAUUUUUUAUCGAAAUAAAAAAUGAAAUAAAAUUCUACAUUAAUAUUCUUUGAUUUGAAUUUACUUUAUUGCCUUUUGUUCUAGAUUUUUCACAUAGAUCAUUUGCAUGGUUUAAUAAGAUUGGUUGGAUAUAAAUUUCAUAGCGAAUAAAAAUACACAAUUAGAACUGAUGAAAAAUAGAAUGUAUUCAUUGUCAAAUUUAAUUUAAUUUCUUUUAGAUCAUUAUGAUUGAAUAGAUAGAUUUUUAUGUGUUUUAAAUCUUUACAAGUUAUUAUGUGUUUUGAAACUUUAGAAGAUCAUAUUCAAAACAUAUAUAUGAUUAGUUGCUCUACACGUACAUUGCUUAUUGCAAAUGGUUAUAGUUGUUCUUCAUGCAUGUUGUUUACCGGUAUAUUCACUGCAUCAAUGGUAGAUUAAUUGGAACACACAAUAAUAAAAACGGUCUAUUGCGACACUUUUAAAUGUUGGUACAGGUAAAAAAAAAGCAUUGCUGGCUAAAUUACCGAUACUUUUAAAAAGUGAUGUUAUAUGUGGGGUCGAUAGGGAUAUAGUGACAGUAAAAAGUGUCACUAUAACCUAAAAGAGUGCUGCUAAUUUACCAACACUUAUUUUAGCAUUUAGUAACCGCCAAAACUCUACCUCGUUACUGCGGUGACGGAGGAGAACGAGAGGGAAGGGUUAUUCGUUUAGAAUUUCAGCGGAUUGAGUGAGGGAAGAAGGGGAGAUGGUAAUCGAUUUUUCUUUUUUUUUUUUUUUUCUUUUCUGUUUGUAAUUGGGCCGAAUGGGCUGGGUGGGAUGGGUUAAGUAGAGUAACUUUUUAUUUUUGAUUGGAUUGAGCUUUAUAUUUAGACAUUACUAGAUUUGUUUAAAAAUUUUGGUAUAAAUGGGACACUUACACAAAAGUAUUCCAAACAUGUGUCCCUAUAAUCUAAUUCUGUUGUAGUGAGAUUAAAGAUUAAUGGUUAGUGCAUUCCUAAUUGAAAAGGAAUAUGCAUAUGCAUAAUAAAUAAUUAUUUUGCAAGGUCCCAAACAAAAGCUUGAAUUAGAUUGGUGGUUACAGAUCAAGAAGUGGAAAAAUAUGUUUACCUACUCAAUUGACCGCAAGAAUUAAUUAAGGAAUCUCAGUGCCGCCACUUCUCCAGCAUUUUAAAAUGGAAAUUCCUAUAUAUUAAUCAUUGUUAUAUUAAUCAUUGUUAUUAAGCAACAAAAAUAGCGCUUUCUUAGAAGUGAUUCUAGCUAGCCUUCACUUCCUUGAUUCUGGCUUGAAGAAAUUUGGAUCAUUCCAAGUUGAAUGAUACUUUAUAUUUAAAUUUAACAUAAAAUAUAUUUCCUUUUGUAUUAAGAUUCAGCACAACGAGAUGAUACUUUUACUUUUUAACUUUAAAAUUUCAUAGUAAUUAAGUUUUUCAAAUACAACUUAUAUAUUACAACGCAUUAAGUUAAGUUAGAAUAGUUCCAAAUUAAAGACAUAUACAGGCACCGUUUGUUUUACUAGCUAGUUUGGAGUAUCCCGGGAAUUAAUGCAUAUAUAUUUACAGUUGUAACACUUAUUAGGUUAGAUUUCUCAAAAAAAAAAAAAAACACUUAUUAGGUUAGGUGAUUCUUAGGAUUUUUUUUUUUUUUUCUAAUAAUUGGAUUACUCGUGUUAUCCAUCAAGUAUGGAAAUAAUAAGAUUUCAAAAACAAUGGUAUUAUUCUCACUAGUUGGAAAUUUGUAAUAGUUCUAUAACCUCACCAGAUACGUACUUUUAUAACUUAAUUUUCACUUGCAUGUUGAUUGGUGAUGAUUACGUUAAAGUUGUUUACCAACUGUUUAUUCGGCUACCUGCAGGUAUAUAAAACAAUGGCGAAGAGCUUGACGAGGUCUUAGAAUAGGACCGAGAGCUUAAACAAUUUAAGUACUUGAAGUAGUUGCCUUAUAUAUAUAUAUAUAUAGAGAGAGAGAGAGAGAGAGAGAGAGAGAGAGAGAGUUUAGGUAGUAUACUAUUGAUGGUAUAUGAAUAUUAUUUACUAUCAAAUUUUUCACUUUUAGAUUAUUAUUAUUCCACUAAUACUUAUUAAACCCUAGUCAUCUAAUGAUCAAAAAAUUGAUAGUAAACAUUAUUCCCAUAUUAUCAAUAGUGUUCUAGCUCCGCUCUAUGUAUAUAUAGUACAGAGAGAGAGAGGAGGAAUUUAAUCUGUUAUAUAUUUCACUUAAUUAAUUAUUUAAUAUGAUAUAUAUCAUAUAUAGUUAAUUCUAAACCCCUUCUUUCUGUAGGUUGUUAAUUCGAUUCCCACCUUCAAUAUUUAACAGAUUAAAUUCCUAUAUUAUAUGUUUAAUUAUUAAAUCCCUCUCUUAAUUGUACCUCAAUAAUUUUACGUGUUUUUAUAUUCAUUUUGAAUUUGAGGAAGAGUGUUAAUAUAUUUUUUGCAUCUUUUUCCCACUAGAUUGAUCUUAUAGGUCUCAAGCCUAAAUAUGAGGAGAAAUGUUGAAAAAUAAAUAUUUAAAAAUAUCAUUUUUUGACAACUUAAACUUAAUUUUGGAGAACUACGGUGAUUAUUUCACUUAGUUUAAUAAGGGCGGCCACUAGAAUACUCCUAAAUGUAAAUAGAGCAAGUUAUACAUGUUACCCUCAUGCAUGCCCUUUGGAAAAUAUUUUUGGAAAUCCUUCUAUUUUAAAAAUAGAGUUUGCGGAAAAGCAUAUAAUUUUUUUAAAAAUCUUAUCCGAGACGCGCACAAAUUUGCCACACGCAUAGAGUUUAAUUCUCUGUCCACACGGAUAAAAUUUUUCUUGUACAUGCACGGCGUAGGGACACAGAUAAACCAACUACAAUCACAAUAAACAACCUAAACAGGAGGAUGCAAUAUAAUAGUUACAGUAACUACAACUAAUCCAAAAACUUCAAUCAAGAAUACAUAAACCACAAGAAUAGAAAAACCCAAUAGUAGCUCUAAACUCAAGGCUACAAGACGGAGAAACAUAAUCUCAGCAUGAUAAAAAUAUAAGGAAUGAAAAAUAAAUCCGAAACUAACAACCAAAACCCACGGUACUAGCUAUUUAGUCGCUAAAUAAACACAUCUCCACGCAGCGUCCUGACCCACACUGUUAGUAACACCAUAAAAAAGUAGGGCGAGAAACAUAUAAAUAUAUUUUCCAAUAGGGACAACCAACCGCCAAAGGCAAGUUGCACUCGCUGAUCAAGGUUUUUUUGUGCCAUUUUCGGCGACAAGCAUCCAAAUCAAUGAUUGAUGCUAUUAAAAAUAACCUAGGUUACUGAACUUUGAAAAAAAAAAUUAACUUAAAUUUUAUUAUUUUACAAUAUCAUUUGCCAAGAUUAUGUUUAAUAUUAAAAAAACAUAAACUUUGAUUCUAAUAAAAUUUAAAUAGUCUAAAUUAUAUCUAACAAGCAGUGCCGAGAUCAUCUAGCUAGUAGGAUGCCCCAUCAACAAAAACAGCAAUUCGUUUCAUUAAAAUAUACGUUUUUUUUCUAUGCGUUUUCGCAUCUACAUCAUGAGAGACUAGUAUAUAUUAGUCACACCAAAUCAUCUAUUAACAACCAAUCAUAUGUCUCAUUUUGAGUAAAAAGUAUAAUAAAAAUAUUUUUUUAUUAAUCAUGAUGGAACGGUAAAUCCAAGAAAAAUAAUAUGUUUGGUUGGUGAUGUCGUAUUAGUAAUAUAACUAAUGCAUUUUAGAUUUUUUUUUUCAACAAAUGAGUACUCCAUAUAAUAAUUACCUACAAUAAUUACGCCAGUACUCACAUCUGUUAUGAUAUCACUGGACUAAUAAAUUACAAUUAAGAAAUUAAAUAAGUUUCCUUUUAUUAAUUUAAUGUUCAAAGCUCACAUAAUUGGCCAACCUUUGCUAAGUACUUGUGGAUCGUAGGGAGUACAACGUAGUAUAUUUUGGUGGGUAACGCGUAUACAAUUGCUAACAUUAAAUAGUUUGUAAAACUCAUAUGCUUAUGUUAUACUAACUAACAUUUCAAAUAUGCGGACACAUCACACUUUUUUAAGGAUUAGGUACUAUAAAUAGUUCCUAACCAAAUUUUAUUACUUUGUAUGAAAAUAAAAUAAAAUGAAACUCUUGCAUUAAUAUUAUUUCGAUUUGAAUUUACGAUAUUAUGUUUACUAUAGAUUUUUACAUUGAUCGUCUGCAUGAUUCAAUGAGAUUGGUCAAAUAUAUAAUUUGUACAAAAUACCGAUUAUCUCUGGACUACUACUCUUAUUUAUACCAAAUAAAAAAUAAAGCAUUAGAUUUGACAAAUACAUGUAUUCGUUGGUGAAUUUUAUAUAUAUAUAUAUAUAUAUAUGAUAGAGGAGACAGAUUUAAUUUCAUGUGUUUUAUAGCUUUACAAGUUAUGCAUUUUAAACUUUAAAAGAUCAUAUUAAAAACAUAUGAUUAGUUGAUCUUCACGUUGGUUACUGCAAAUUAAUUAUAAGUUGUUCUUGACGUUGUUUAUUGGGAGCUCAAUUGUAGAUUAACUGCAAGAGGACUACAGAUUAAUGAUCAAUGCUGUGAAACAACCGUUGUACUCUAAAAGCUUAAGCUGUUAAAGAACGGUGUUUAAACAUUUUUAUAUUUAAAUGGGAGGAAAUUAAUAUACAUAUUUAAAUGGGAGGAAAUUAAUAUACUAGAAGUUAGCUUGAUAUGACUCGAACUCAGGACCUCCUACUCUGAUACCAUGUGAAAUAAUCGUUGUACUCUAAAACUAAAGCUGUUAGAGAACGGUGCUUAAAUAUUUUUAUAUUUAACAAAUGCAUGCAAAAUUGUGCAGGAAUAUGUUUUUCUUAGUGCAACUAUCAAAAACUUGGAAUCAUAGUGGUCACCAAUUAAGAAGUGGCAGAAUAUGUUUACUUAGUUGACCACGGGAACUGAGGAAUCUCAGUGCCGCCACUUCUCCAGCAUUUUAAAAUGGAAAUUCCUAUAUAUUAAUCAUUGUUAUUUCAUUUUACUAAUUCUUUGUCGUCGUUAAGCAACAAAAAUAGCACUUUCAAAAAAGUAAGACCUUUCAAGCUUAUUAAUUGGCCAAAGUAAAUUAUAAGCCACUCCAAAGUCGUGGACUGUCGAAAUAAUUAAUUUAUAGCUAGCCAUCACUUCCUUGAUUCUGGCUUGAAGAAAUUUAGAUCGUUCGAAGUUGGAUGAUUGAUUCUAAAGUUUUAAGAGUGAUUUGAAUUUAGAUUUCAAUUUGAAUUCCAAAUAAAAUUUUAAUUUUGAAAUUUAACUUAAUUUAAAUUUAAAUGUAAAUUUAGAUUUAUAUUUUGAAUUUUAAUUUUAGUUUCAAAUUGAUUCACUCACAAAUCUGGAUUGUGUCUUUUUCUAUCUGAACUUAGUUCAUGCUUGGGAUUUUAGUAGAAUUUUAAGCUUGAAUUUAACAUAAAAAUUUCCAUUUGAGUUAAGAUUCAGCUCAACGAGAUGAUACUUUACUUCUUAACUUUCAAAUUUCAUAGUAAGUUUUUCAAACACAUCUUAUAGAUUGCAAUGCAUUAAGUUAGUAAGAAUUAUACCUAACUUUGUUGAGUUUAUUCCUAACCUUAUUAGAUUUUAGUCACUAAUAUAUAUAAAAAUAACUUUUAUUUUAUUGAUUUGGUGUGGCUAAGGAGAGAUAAUAUAGAGCAUAUUUUGGGGUUAGAGUUUAGUGAUAGAGACAUCUUUUGUACUCUCUUUGGAAAAGGCAUGCUUUAUUUACAUGCUUUGUCUUCGUCCAUAGAUGUAGGUCAUUGGCCAAACUUCGUAAAUAUUUACAUGCUUUAUUUUUAUUCUUUCUUUCUCAAUUUUUAUUUGAUAUUUUAGUGCUCGACGAACUAGGUUUUUUUUGCCUUUUUUAACAAGUUGUUGUCAGAUUUGGUCAUUUUAUUUGGGUGGUAUUCAAGAUGUCGACAAAAUUUGAGAUUGAAAAUUUUGAUUGCUCUAGCAGUUUCGCUCUUUGGCAAGUUGAGAUGCAAGUUGUUCUUACACAACAAGGGUUGCAAAAGGCAUGGAUUACUGAAGGGAGAAGAUUGGCAAUUCAGAUAACCCACGGAUUAGGUCAUUAAGCCAUUUUUGAUAACCAAGUUCAGUAUGUAAUAAACUUUUUUUUUUUUUUUUUUUUUUUUUUUUUUUUUUUUUUUUUAUGUGCAACAGCACUUGAGAAACUUGUGGAGUUUUGAUGGGAAAGAUAGAGAAUUCAACCCAACAUGUAGAUUGUUAAAUAUGUCUCAAAAUUUUGAACCGCAAAAUUUACUAACCCUAUUCUAUCUCUGUUAGUCCAUUAAGUUAAGAUUAUACCUGAUCUUCUUAAGAUUAUUUCUAAUGUUAUUGGAUUUUAGUCAGUAAUACAAAUAUACCCUUUAUUUUAUUAAUUUUGUGUGACAGAUGAGAGAAAAUAUGGGAUUUUUAUUUGGGAUUGUGAAAGAGAUAUUGUGACACUCUAAUAGUCUGCUAUCGGAUGAGAAUGAAUUAUUGGGCAUAUAAAAGACCAGGGACCCUAAUAAUAUUAACUGACUUAAGCAUUUGUGGUCUGAGUCCAACGCGUUAUUAUUGGUAGUGGGUCGGAUCGUUACAUUUGGUUUUAGAGCUGGUUUACUAACCGGAAGUGUGAAGUGCGCUUCACAUCACCUGAUGAUAUUUGGUUGUAUGUGUGGUUGGGCUGACGAGGAUGUUAUCGGAUAGAAUGGGUUGUGAUUGAGUAUACAAGAGACAAUAAAUUAUAAUAAUAAUAAUUAGACUUAAGUAUUUUGGGCCAAUGGUUUAAGAAUAGAGUUGUGAUUGAGUAUAUAAGAGAUAGUGGACUCUAGUAAUAAUAACUAGUUUGAAGCAUUUUGGAUUAUUGGUUUGAGCCCAAUGAGUAUUUAUUUCGAGUGGGUUGGGUUAUUACAAACAUCUUUUGUGCUCGCUUUGGAAUAUAAUGAAAGUUUUCACUCCGUUUACAUUCGUGGAUGUAGGAUUGUAGCUGAAUCAUGCAAAUAUUUAUGUGUUUUCAUUUUCUUCUCUUUUUCUCAAUUCUCUUUUAAUAUUUUAGUGCUCGAUGAACUAGAUCUCUCUGCUUUUGUCAUAAAACUGGUGUCAGAGCCAGCCGUUUCAUUUAGGCCGUGUUGAAAUGAUGCCGAUAAAAUUUGAGAUCGAGAAGUUUGAUAUCUUCAGUAGUUUCGCUUUUCAAAACGUUAAGAUGCAAGCUGUUCUUAAGCAACAAGAUUUGCACUAAGGAUUAUUGGAGAAGGAGAAGAUUGACAGAGAACCUUGUGGAUUUGCUCACUAAACCUUUUCCGAUAACCAAGGUAAAUAUAACGUAAAUUUGUUAUGUAUGUGAAGCAGUACUUAAGGAGCUUAUGAUGUUUUAAUGAAGAAGACAGAAAAUUCAAGCCAAAAUAAAGAUUAAUAUCUUGAAUUCGUGAAUCUAAGAUUUUUUAACUCUAUUUCUAUUUUUUGCUAUCCAUUAAGUUAAGCUAGAAUUAUGCCAAAUCUUAUUGAGAUUAUUUCUAGUCUUGUUGGAUUUUAGUCAUUAAUACAAUAUGGCCUUUAUUUAAUUGAUUUGUUGUUACAGAUAAGAGAGAAUAUAGGGUAUAAUUUGGGGGGGAGGGGGGGGAGUAUAAUUCAGGGUCUUCAUCCGUUAUAUACGUCAGUAUCCUUGAAUUUUGUUUGAAUUUACGAGACAAAUUUUCAUAGGAAAUAAUAAUGCAUGGAAUCUCAGGAGCGUAAUAAUUAUGAACAUCGACAUAGUUAUCCACCGUAAAUGCAUGACACAACCAUUUCUCACAUGAUUUUUUGGCAAUCCAAAUUAAUCCACAGGCAAGCAAUUUAUCUGCCUGGGUUUAAAAUUAAGAUUCAAUCUUUGAAGAUUCGGCAUCACAAUGUAGAAAUGUGAAAACUAUAAGCUAUACUGACUAAAAAUUUUUCUAACAAAGAGCAAGACAGUUGGUCUGCAGUCACAUACAAAAAUGCGUCACUCCCUGUUGGCUAUUAGUGAUUGUCGGAAGCGAGUACUAUUUGCUGGAACUGAUAUUUGUUCGGAUACCAGUAGGUUAACCUGGAAUCUAAAUAGUAAAAUUAAAUAAUAUGGAAAAGAAAAAAGUUGAGGAGAAAGAUAACUAAAAAUAAUAUAAAAUAUUUUAUUCAUUAAAUCCUAAGCGUAGGCCGGCCGUACUGGGCCGCCGGGCAAUGCCUAUAUUUACUCAGGCCGAAACAGGCCAGGGGUCGUCCCAGCACAUUCCAGUUCCAAUCUGGGCCUGGCCGUGUUGGGUUAGAUUUGCCAGAUCUGCAACCCAACAUGGCCCUCCGGACCAAAUUUAUAUAUUUUUCUCUAAAUACUUUGCCAUAAUUUAUUUUUUUCCAAUAGCAUUUGAUGGUCCUUAAUACAAAACAUGUCUUAUAGUGUUCAUUCCGAUUAAAAUGGACAAAAAUUCGAUGGGUAUCGUCCCGAAACUAAUUAGUUUGGGGAUGAUGCGGAUGGGCUCCACAUGGCCCAUCCAACAGGCGGCAUGGAAGGUAAAAAGAAGUGCCCUCUAUUUUUAGAGAGAGAGAGAGAGAGAGAGAGAGAGCAGAGAUAGAGAGGAGGCUGUCUGCCAGAUGAGCCACGUGGCGCCCAUCUGCAUAGUUUGGGGACGAUGCCCAUAAAAUUUUUGUCCGAUGAAAGUGACUUUUAAAAUAAAAGUUUAAGGGAUCCAUUUUAUCAUAGCCUGUUCCAAAGGGAAUUUUCAUACAGUUUAUUUUUAAUUUUAGUAUAAACUUAUUAGUUAUAUGUUUGAAAGCCAAUCUAGUGACACAAAUUUAAAAGUAUUUGUAUAUUAAUCAUUUAUAAUUUAUUAUAUAACGUUUCAUAUCUAUUAUGUUGUAUUGUAACAUUGACAUGAAUCGUUUAUAAGGUUUUUAUUUUAGAAGAUAUAUUACUGAGAGUUAGAAAUUUGAAAUAUAUAUUUCGUUGUACAAAAUUUUUUAAAUACUCCUAACCAGAUAAAUAUUACAGGGACGUUAAUGCUCUGAAUAAACAGGUGUAUAGUAUAUGUUAGUAUAUGUCUAAUUGAGAUGACAAAUCUCAAAUAACUAGUGUAGGAACACUGGAGCAAAUAUACAAGUAUAAAGCUGGUUAGAAAAUAAGUACACUAAAUGUGAUCAUUUAGUUGAAUAAUCAUGUGGCUCCCUUCUAGGGGUGUAAUGUGGGCCGUGCUAGGCGUGCACGGCCCAAAUUUUUUGGGCCGAAAUUUGCUAGAGGCCAGCCCAGCUAAGCUCGGCCUGGAUUCAAUUUCGGGUCGGGCCGGCCGGGCCCAAGUUGCCUAUCCUCUGGUCCGGCAUGGCUGCCUAGUAAAGUAUUUAUUUUUUAUUUUUUUCUAAAAAAAUUUAGUAUGAAAUUAAAAAAUAUAAACAAUAAAUAUUUUCAUGUAAAUUGAUGUUUUGAUUAAAACAUUAAAAAAUUAUAAAAAUAAUUAUACUAAAGUAAAUAGUUAAUUUUUAUAAAAAAUAAGUAAAUUUGUAUUAUUUUUUUGAAAAAAAAAGAAAAUUAGAUAAAUUUUUAGUCCAAUGGACCAAUGGACCAAAAUUCUUUUGGUCCAUUGGACCAAAACCCGCAGACCUAGGGAGACAGCUCCUGGCCCUAGGAGUUCAGUCUCCAUGGCCCAAGACCAUUGCUUUGGGCCUUGGGAUCUGGGCCAUGCUGGCCCGGUUGGCACGGUCCAAGCGGGCCGUACCGUGCCGAGCCACCCGCCUCCCCUCGGCCUGGCACGAUCCAAACCCAUUUCGGGCCGUAUCAUGUCGGACCGUCGGGCUCCAAAUGAGAGGCCCAGCACAGCCUAGAGCCUCGGGCCGGCCUUGUCCGGCACGGGUGCUAUAGUACCUGGGCCAUGCUGUAGCCCGGCCCGAGGUCAUGCUGGGCUGGAAGGCCCACGUGCCACCCGGCCUGUUUUACAUCCCAACUCCGUUCUCGACCUGAUGACUAGUUUAUUGCUGUAGUUGUGUAAAUACUCAGAUCAAUAGUAGAUUACAAAUUUUCUUAAAGGUUAAAUAUUGAUAGCACAUGUAUACUUGAUUUUAAUAAACUUCUAAUUUAGUUUAGAAAUUAAUAUAGCUAAGUCAAAAUUAUAAAAAACUAAGAAGUUAACUUUAAUUUACAAAUGUUAUGAAAGGUGAACGUUUUUUCUUUCUUAAUGCCCAGACGAAAUGUAACUACAUGCUAAUUGAUUGUGACACAAAUUAGGAAGUUCUAUUUGAAUGUGGAAAUAAAAAAAUAUAAUAAUAACACAUUCUUUAUAAAUAUUUUCUUGAAUAAUUAAUUUCUAUACGGUUGAAAGUUAGACAUUUAAUUUUCACUUCAUAAAAAGGGUGUUGACAGCCAUGCAUUAUUUGGAAGGAUUACAUAUUUCACCUGUGGUGAUUAGUUCUAUACACUCUGAAAUGAAAAAUGGAAGGCAAAUAUAAAAUCCAUUUUAGACAAAUGGCCACACUCCUUAAUUACCAAAUGAUUUAUUCUUCUUGAUUAAAAUCCGAAGAAUAUGAUUAAUGAAAUGUUCAUGUGUCUAAGAAAGGCCUUAAUCACUCAAAAUUACUUUCAAAAGGAAAAUAAUAAAAUUGUGCCAAACUUAGGUCUUUGCAUUUCAAGGAGUACGUGUCACGCACGCCCAAUAGAUUUGCUUGAGCACGUAAAAUAGAUUUUUAAGCGAUUUUUAAUUCAACUAGAUUUUCACCCGUGCGAUGCACGGCUAAUAUAAUAAUAUAGAAUAAUAAAAAUUAUUAUGUGAUGAUAACAAAAAGAUUUUCUAAUUAAUUUUAUAUUUUUUAACAAAUAAAAAAAUAUACUAUCAAUCUUAAUUAUAGUACAUAUUAAAGUACACAAGCUAGAGAAAAAAAAAAUUGGACCAAAGUAAUAUUCAACUAAAAUGCAAAAUUCAAUCAUGCUCUAUUAUCUAUGAAUUGGUAUGCAAAAUAAUUUACAUUUACAUAUUGAUGUGCGAAAUAAAAUGAUAACUAAAAUUGAUAUGAAAAAUUAUAAAUGGCAUUAAUAUUUAAGCAUAUAAUGAGAUCAACUAAACUUUCAUAUUUGACCCAAAUUAGAGUAAGCACACAUAUAUUAUGUUCCUACUGUCGCUUUUAAGAUUCAAAAAUAUAUAGAUGUUGGUUUUCAAGAAAAUAUAAAGAAAAAAAAUUUUGUUGCAUGAAGAUGAAAAAUUACAUGAGUGACAGAAGGAAAAAAAAUUACGAAAUAAAAAUUACAGAAGUGACAGUAGGGAAAUAAUAUGUUCUAUUUUAAAGCAUCAAUAUUUAAGAGCGAAGAAAAUUACAGGAGUGAUGUGAGUUUUAAAUUUUUUCCUCUUUCCAAAAAUGCCUCUAUCCUUUUUUACUAAUAUUUUUAUGUCCAAAAAUUUUCAACCAAUCAUUUUAAAUAAUUAACUAAGUAAUAAUUUAUUCUCAAAUAAAGAUAAAUAUUUUUCCUUCUACGCGUAAUAUCCGCACCGCUAAUUCUUUCGCAACAUAAUAUCCAUAAAUUUCUUAAAUAUCUCAACAUAAUUAUAGGUGACUUUGAAAUAAAAUUUCCUUCAUUAUAUGUGAUUUUUAAUAAUAUAGUAAAAGAUAUUAAUUUUUGUGAAAAUAAAAAUAUCAAUUAAUUUUUGUGAUAAUAUUAUCCUCGCAUUUAUAUCCUAUUUUCUAUCUUUUUAUUUUAUAUUUGAACUUAACACGUAGAUUAUUUUUCCUAAAGCAGUAAUAUCCGCACCCGCCAAUUCUUUGGCGUGAAUUUCUCAAAUAUCUCAACAUAAUUAUAUGUGACUUUGAAAUAAAAUUAGAUUUUUAAUAAUAUUGUAAAAGAUACUAUUUUCUUAAAAAAUUUAAUUUUAAUUUUUCUAAAGUAGUCAUAUUCUCUAAAAUAGAAAAUCUAUAUUUGAGCUUAACACGUAGAUUUUCUAUAUAGUAAAAGAUAUUAUUUUAUAAUUUUAAAUAAUUAAUUAUCUGUCAAUACGAAAUUUGAGUUUGCAACAGAUUAUUUUCACUGCGAAAAAAUAAUUCGCAACAGAUUAUUGCGUAUUUAAUUUUAAAUAAUUAAUUAAACAAAUAAUUUUAAAUAAUUCGUAACCAAAUAUCCAUAUUUGAGUUUGACACGUGGCAAGCAUAUAGAAAGCCACGUGUCAGCUUCUCACAUAGGGUUCAUUACACGUGGCAAGCAUAUAGAAAUAUCCAUAUUUGAGUUUGACACGUGGCAAGCAUAUAGAAAGCCACGUGUCAGCUUCUCACAUAGGGUUCAUUAAGGGUUCUACUUUUAUAUAUAGUAAUAGAUUCCACAUGUAGCUUCUACUCCUUCAGAAAGUAUUUUUAAGUGAUUUGACAUUGAUAUUUAGGCCCAAUUUCGCUUAGUUUUUUAGAAAUUUUUGGCUCAGAAUUAUUUUUGGGCUCAGUAGAGCAUUUGACAACGGGAGUUGCAAAAUCUGAUUCUGAUUUCAGAAUUAGAAAACUGAUUUUGAAGGCCCCAGAAUUAAUUAGAAGCAGAAAAAAGCUACUUCUUGAAAUCUGAUUCUGAUUUCGGACUCAAACUUCAAAUUUUUAUUUUUAUUUUAGAUUUGCUGUUUAAAUUUAAAUUUAAUUCUAAUUUUUUAAAUUUUAAAUUCAUAUUUAAAUUUUUAAAUUUUAACUUUUCAAAUCUAAAAUUUAAAAUUUAUAUUUUAAACUUUAAAUUUUAAAUUCUAAUUUUAAAGUUCAAAUCUCAAAUUUUAGAUUUUAAAAUUUCAAAUUUCAAAUUUCAAAUUUAAGAUAAAAUUUAAAAUUUGACAUUUUAUAUUUUAAGAUUUAAAUUUAAAAUUUUAAAAAUUUAAAAUUUAAANUUAAAUUUUGUACAAUUUUAAAAUUUUGAAAUUUUAAUUUUAAUUCAAAUUUAAAUUUAAAUUUUAAAUUAUUUUAAAAUAAAAUUUAAUAAAAAUAUUACUUUAUGGAAACAUCAAAAAAAUUUUGCCAAUUAGCUUUACAAAAUUAUUUCAGAAAAAUCAAUUUUAUCUAAACUCAGCCAACCGUUUUACAGCUUUUAACUAAAGUUACUUCUCCAAACCAAAAAUCACCUUUUUAGAAAUCACUCAUCCAGAAUUAAGGCCAAACGGACCCUUAGGUUUGGACCUAAUAGCAUAUAUCAAUCUUUCACUCUAAUUAUUAUUUUAUGUAAGAGUAAAACAAUUUAGAAACGUAGUUUAAUUUAUGUUAAUAAAUCAACUAAAGUUUAGAGGAGUUAUUAGACAAUGACUUUUAGUUGACGGGACUUACACAUACUUUUUCUCAUAUUUUAUUUAGUAAUAGAUAAUUAUAUUAUAUAUUUUAUAUUAUCAUAUGAUUAUAUAAUAAUACAUAUGUAACAUCAUUUUAAAACAAAAAUUUAAAAAGCUGACAAAAUUCCAUUGUCUUAUCCAUUAAUAUAUCUCAUCAUGAUAUGAUGUAGUAUCGCAUUGGUCAAAUUAUUUCGACGUGGAUGUGUUUUUCUUGUUCGUUGUGUUGUUGGUAUUCUUAUAGAUUCCAAAUUAUUAGUUGAGAGAAACCCCUUUCAAUUAAUUAUACUAGUUGAGAGAGAAACUCCUUUCAAAGACAUAAUUAACUUUGCUUUCCAUAAAUUGCAUCCUAAGAAAUAGAGAAAAAGGAAAUAAAUAGUUUGAAAUAUUCUACUUAGUAAAGUUAUUUUUUUUUAAUUAUUAUUAUUGGCUCCAUUAGCCAGUAGUUAUUAAUUCUUCUAAUUUGAUUUGCAAAAAUAUUCUGAUUAAACCAUUAAGUCAGAUAAAAACACUCAUGAAAUUGAUAGUGCGUUCAAUUUUCUAGAUAAGAAUCACUCUUCAAUAAGCAAUCAAAAACUUUCAAUUUGACAAUAUCAAGUUUAUAAAUCAGAAAUCUACCUGUGAUGUAUUUUCUUCAAUAUUUUUGUGUGGUCGAAAGUUAGAAGUUAGUAUUUUACUUUAUUAUAGGAUUGUAUAUUUUACCUACGAGGUAAUUAGCCUUACCUUAAAAAAUAACUUAAAAUGCUGNAUUGGCUGCAGUACCAACUGCAGCAGUUGGGCCCAUUCAUGCGGAUGCAACUACUGCAGUUGAGCCCAACUGCACCAAGCCAAACAAAAAAGUAAUUGAUGCAUGCAUUUCCAACUGCACUGCAGUUGGAAAAACAUAGAACCAAACAGCCCCUUAAUUUCUUAUAUUAAUUCUUAUUUCUAUCACCGACCGUCCGCAGCGCAAGUGGCAAAAGGGCUUGGUGGUUGGUACCCGAGACCCAAGUUCGAAUCCUAGUUUAUUCACAUUUCCAGAUAAGUUUAUUUUUAAAUGAAAUAAACAAAGCGGGGUAGCAUGCUACCUUUCUCUCAAAAAAAAAAAAAAUUCUUAUUUCUAUCGUGUGGUAUUGCAUCGGCCAAGUUCUUUGGACGAUGAUGUGUUUCUCUUGUUCGACGUGUUGUUGGUAUUCUCUUUAAAGAAAACAAGAAAAAAUUUUAAGAUUAGUUCUACCCGAAUCCAAAUUAAUGAUCCGAGGAUCGAUCCAACAACAAAACAAUAUGGACCAAGUUGGUUGGCGUUUUGCAAUUAAUUCAAUUAUUAUUAGUUGAGAGUAACACCUCUGUAUAUAAAAUUUUAUGUACACUAUUUAGUUGGAAUUUUUUACUUAGCCAAAACUUUUUUAUAUUUAAUGAUUCUAUUAGCUAUAGUUGUAAAUUGUUAUAAUAUUAUUUGCUAAAAUCUGGUUAAAUUAUUAUGUUUAAUAAAAUCACUCGUGAAUUUGAUAAUACUUUCAAUUUUUUUCAGAUAAAAAAUCACUCUUCAACUUUAGGAUGGCAUGCAUAUAUAUGGUUAAUUAUGGCGUUAAUUUUCAUACUUUUUAACCCAAGUUUUAUGUGGAAACGUACCAAGGACUCUCUAGUAUGGGAAUCUAACCCUCUAGAAUUCUAAUUUUAGUUUUUAAAUAUAAUCGAUUUAAGUUCUAUUAGUCUACUAUUAAAAAUAGUCGUUAGCUCUAUUAAAACUGUCACAACCUGAACCACGUACACCACUACUUGGUUAAGUCGCGAUCACCGCACCUCCAUAGAAUUCAAAUCCGACAUUUGAAUUUGAAUCCUAUGGACGUGCUUUAGUGAAAGAACUUACAUCUACUAGCAGUCGGAGGGGAAAUUAGAGCCGUACAACCAAACAUCCAAUCAUGUAUACUACAAUAAAGUACGAAUAUAUGCAAUAUGAAACGAAACUAAGUACAAGCUACUUGUGUGUGUGUCGUCUCACCAUGUAGUCCGCAUGGAAUAACAAGGCCCAAACAAAAAAGGUUACGAUCCUUAAGGAGUCAACUAACGCAUGCAAAUCAACAUGCAUAAUUUACAAUGAUAUCCGUGAAUCAUGCUAUGCAUCAUGCUAGACGGCCGUACCUCGCAAAUCUGGUGCGGCAACACAGACUCAGCAAUCCAACAUAUAUACUCGACCCAAACACGCCACUUAGCAUCUCCACACCCACACCUACGUCCGUUCACCAGUGCAUCGCUCUAGAAUAGCUCAUCAUAACAUACCAUGGUAUUGUACAAAAGUGUACAUUAUUCAUUCUCUGUGAUACUAUCUGUGGCGCACCUCUUUGAUCACAAUGUGCUGGUCGUCCUGGCGUACACUAAUCAUCCCAAUUGAUCUAACUAUGAGUAUUGCUCAGUAUAGUAUCCCUACAUGAUGUAUGCUAGGCUCUCGACACCUUACCUGUAUCCUGAUAUAGUCCUAAGGUGUACAGACAUUAGAAUCAAAUUUAACCUUGUCACUCUUGACAACGUUAAGUCAUGUACCGACCUACUAAAUUCGGCAUACAUCGACUCACUGUGUCAUACUCUACAUCUCUACUUCACAGACCAAACCUCUCUCUCUCUCUCUCUCUCACUCUCUCUCUCCACCCCCUCCCCAGCUCCCUCUCUCUCUCUCUCUCUCUCUCUCUCUCUUCUCGUCUUCUACGUUUGGCGCAAGGGGUGGCGGGCUGCCCGCACAUGCACCCCCCCUCCGGCUUCUCUCCCUCUCCUCCUCUCUCUCUCCCCACCAAAGCCCCCUUGGCUCUCACCUCUCUCUCUCUCUUCCCCGCGUGCGCGCGACCCGCGCCGCGCGUGCGCGCUGAGAGAGCUCUCUCUCUCUCCCCCCCUUUACCUCUCCCUUCCCCCCCUCGGGUCUCUUCCUCUCUCUCCCGGCCCCCCUCUCUCCCCCUUUUUUCCUCUUCCUCCCCUCCCGGCUCUCUCUCUUUCCUCCUCUUCUCUCCCUCUCCCAAGCGCGAGUGGGUGGCGCGAGCGGGCGCGGUCGCCGGCAAGGGGCGCGCGAGCUGGGCGGCCGCAGGCGCGGGCGCGGGCUGGCGCGGGUCCUCUCUCUCUUCUUCUUCUUCUUUUUUUACCUCCUUUCUAAUUUUUUUUAUUAUUUUGUAUGGCUGUGGAUAAAAAAUUAAAAAUUAAAAUAAAAUCUAAAAUUUAAUUUUAAAUUAAAAUUUAAAUCCGAAUCCGAACUCGAAUCCGAUGGAUUUUACAAAUCCAUAUCCAAAUCCGAACCCGAUCAAGGCUCCGAAACCUGGGUCCGAAAAUCCUAACCCACAAUAAUAUUUAAAUAAUUUUUUUAAUUUCUCUCUCUCUUCAAUUUUUUUGAAGCUUAAAAUUUAAAAUUAGAUUUGAAAAUUAAAAAAAAUAAAAAUUUGAAAAUAUUUUAGGAAUUGCGUAAAUUUUCCGCCGCGAAGCGCGGGCUUUCACUAGUUACCAUAAAUUUUACAACUUGUCUCACAUCAAAUUCUAACAUCAUAUUUUUUUCAAAAUAGAACUUUAUAAUUACAUUUCCAUCUCCCUAGAGUAUUACAAAUAUAUCUUUAAUUAGUUCCGUACAACUUGUUAGCUAAAAAUAAGGUGGACAAACUAUCUAUUGUGCCAUACUCUUGCCUCCAUUCGAUGCCUCAAUAGUGGAUGGACUUACAAAAUGGGAAUAAAAACUGUAAAUAUAGUUCCUAGUGGGUACAACAAUCUGAUGAAAAGGUUCGACCAACCAUAUUUAAAGAAUGCAUAAUAUAGAAGAAAUGAUGAUAUAAUAUAACUAAAGAAAAUCUUAUAUAACAACUAGCUAAAUGCUGCAUGUGAGGAAAUUAAGUAACCAAUCAUCAAGUAUGUGAAUAUUAUUUUUGUGUGGUUAAUUAGAAGUUAGGGAUUUGAUUUUUUCUCUCCAUUGAAGGUCUUGGGCAUCCUUGAUUUUACAGAAUGGCAUAUUUCAAAUCGGAAGUGAUUUAUCUUAUUAUUAAAAAUAGCUUGAAAACGAAAUAUACUAUUCUAUUAUUGACAUUUGACCAUAUUUGACCCCAAUAAAUUAAAAAUCAUUAUAUUGAAUAGUACAUCACCAGAUAACUUGGUCCUGCGAAUACAUAUCCUAGCUACUAGUUGGAAGCUAGGAGUUCGAUUUUUAUUUCAGAAAAGAUUUUGUUAACUUUUAUUUGGUAGGAUAACAUAUAUACUUUCCUUACGAGAUGACUAUUUUUGUUGAAAAGAUAAUUUCUUGACGGCGGAAUAUAGUAUCCAUUCUAGAUAAUUGGCCAUACUCCAUAAUUACCAAAUAAUAUAUGCUUUUUGAUUAAAAUCAAAGUAAAAUAUUGAAUAAAAUAUUCAUGUGUCGAAGUAAGGCCUCACUCAUCAGAGUUACAUUUAAAAGGAAAAUUAAUAAAAUAAUAUGCGUUUCAAGGAGUAUAUAUAUUGCAUGUGGAUCCGUAUGUUACUAGUUUGUUAAUUGUAUAUUAAUUCUUAUUUCUACAAUAUGGUCUCGCAUUGGCCAAACACUUUUGGACGUGGAUGUGCCGUUCUUGUUUGAUAUGUUGUUGGUAUCCUCUACAUGUAAGAAAACACACAAAAAAUAAAAACAGAAAAAAAAAGAAAAAAAAUAUUUAAAUAAGAAACUUUAGUUCCAUACCUGGCUUGAUCCAGAGGAUCCAAACAACAAAUUAAACUAGGCCGACCAAGUUGGUCGGCGUUUUAAAAUUCAAUUACUCUUUUUUUUUUUCUUUUUUUUUCUUUUUUUUUUUUUAAGAGAGAGAUAGAUAGCACAGUAUCCGUUUCUUUUAUUUCAUUCAGAAACAAACUUAGCAAAUUAUCGGCCUAUAAACAAAUGUAAUGUGUCCAUAUCAAACAUUAAUGCUCUACAUAUUAUAUCAUUAAUCACAAUAAUACCUGCCAAGACGUUGUUGAUAGCAUGUUGAUCCUCCACCUGGCAGCAAAUACACAGUAACUGUUGGAAUCUCUUAGGAUGAUGCAAUGUGGAUGUGUGUCUAGUUAAUACAGUAGAAGGCGGAGCCACUGUAGAUUAUCUUGGGGUCAAUAAAGUUGAAGCAAUAGAUGAGGCUCAGUUUUCUCCCCACGAACAUUCAGUUUGCAUGUGGCAUGGUUGCCUGCACUUGAAGCAUUACCUCUUGCGUUGAUCGCAUUGCUGUAGUCAAGGAGGCCUAUUGCAGAUUAUACAACUUAUCGCAGAUUGGCAACUAUAUGCCUUAGGAGUACGAGAUCACGAGUGAGAUACUUGGGUGAUUGCUGCGAGCUAAACUAACCAUCGGAGCCACCCGUUGAUUGCUUAUUUCCCUUGUCCUUAUCAAAAGCUUUGCACUUCUCCCAUGCGAUAGCAUUUCAUUGCUCCACCCAUAAUGUCCUAUCCAAAGUUCUGUUAAAAAUUUGUAACUUCAGAGAGUGGGCUAGUUUGUAAUUCUUCAGCCGUGAUCUCCACUCAAAACAAUUUGCUUUAUAUCUAUUAUCCCGAACAACAUACGAGAUGCAAUUGACUAUGUGGGAUGUGACGCCCCAACUUCCUAGGGGGUCAUCCAUCAUAGGACUACUCUCGUUCUAGCACGCUUAACUCUCUUAACCUCUUGGGCGUAGCCACCACCCAAAAUACUUAAGCCGGAUUAACAGUUUUAGCUCUAUUAUAUCUUAUACAUAAGACUACCUAGGGUUUCACAUCCCUCCCCCCUUAAGCCUUGAUGUACUCGUCAGGCUCAGACUCACAAGUACUAGGCAAUGUGCGACUUGUCUCGCUAGCCUAAACCGACUUUGUGGUAAGCUGCACUUCUUCCACAAUAGUCAACAGCAUGAGAGCCUCCCUCUCCCCGCUGUAUAAUGCUGACUUAGCCGAGACUUAUCUCACACUUCUGGUUGGUAAUUAGCUCUGAUACCAACUGUGAUGCCCCAACUUUUCAGGGGAUCACCCAUCAUUCGACUACUCCCAUUCUAGCAUGCUUAACUCUCUUAACAUCUUGGGCCUAGCCACUAUCCAAAAUGCUUAAGCCAAGUUAAGAGUUUUAGUCAUAUUAUAUCUUAUAUAUAGAACUAUCUGUGAUCUCGCAUGGGAGAACUCUCGCUCUUAUUUUCGCACCAAGCUAUUCCCCUGUCACAACUUCUGAAAAUCCUCCUCCAUUUUUUUUUCACACUAUCAAGGAAGUAUGCAUCAAACAACGUUCUCCAAAACUCCUCCCACUUUGGAGGGGGCAAGUUAGUAAGUCAGUUUUGCUUGACACUUUUCCACCAUAAUUAGGCUAUCUUUACCAAAUAAUGUGUGGCUAGGGGCACAUUAUGUCAGUCCACAGUGCACAAGUCUACGAACAACUUCUUUGUCAAAUCCACCCAUGUCGCCACUAUCCACAGGUCCCAUGGUUUCCCCAUCAAAAGUAGGCGAGUUACACGUUUUAAAGGUUGGGAGGCUUGCACUUGCUUCCUCUCCGCUUCCAACAUCGUAUGAUCUGGGGCCGAAGUGUCACAAGCCAUUGGAGGGCUACUCAUCGCAACUACUGACUGUGCGAGGUGCAUCGCGACUAGUGUGGCCAUGAUAUAUACUCCUCCCUCGGUAGCAUUGUAAAAAUUCACCGGGGGCUUGGUCCGAUCCUAAUCUGACUUCAUAGCUUCCACAUACUAUGACAUCAUCUUUUGGUAUGGUGUGUACUUUUUGCUUGGCCUGUUGUUGGGAUGCCUUGGCUUGUCUCUCAAAUAGUCCAAUUAGUGUGGCCACUUGCUCACAACACUCUCAGACUUCGCUCAGUCCGAAUUGUUUGGGCACCUCGAGUGACAGUGUCGAAGUAGGCCUCAUCUGAAGUGGCCCAUGACAUGCCAUUAUUUCCUGAAAUGCAAAGACAUUGAUUAAUAACUCGACGCACUAGGUCAAAUGCAACACUACAUCAAAUGCAAUAUAACACGCACAAUUUAAUUAACUCAAUUAGGUGAAAGUUAUGCAUAGACACUUAUUCCCAUUUUAGGGCAUCAUGUUGUCGGCAGCCAGCAUAAUCACCCAAAAUUGAGAGUAAGCAACACCUUGGAUCCAUCUCCAGUAAGCCUUUAAAGACAUGCAAGACUGACUCAACCCAAUUGACUCGACUUCCACUAUAAUUUAUAGAUCAUUGCCUUUCAUGCGCCUGAGUCCUUAAGGUCAUCCAAUGCCUAGGAUUUGCUUGGUCCACCUAAACAGUUUUAGUCCCCUGAUACCACCUUAAUUGUUAUGCCUGGGCCCACAGCAGAAGCCCCUGAGGGGAUGUACCCAGACCUACUGUACGAAUGGAGUUUUCCCUACCCGCACAAAGCAUCACAAAUCCUAUACAUUUUUAUUCACAUGGAACGCAAAUGUACAUAAUUAUAUUUACAUAGUGGGCAUCAAUAAGAGCAUCAUGAAGGUAACUAUUACCAUAAAUUCUACAACUUGUCUCACAUCAAAUUCUAACAUCAUAUUUUUCCAAAAUAGAACUUUAUAAUUACACUUCCAUCUCCCUAAAGUAUUACAAAUAUAUCUUUAAUUAGUUCCGUACAACUUGUUAGCUAAAAAUAAGGUGGACAAACUAUCUAUUGUGCCAUACUCUGACCUUGAUCCGAUGCCCCAAUAGUGGAUGGACUUACAAAAUGGGAAUAAAAACUGUAAAUAUAGUUCCUAGUGGGUACAACAAUCUGAUGAAAAGGUUCGACCAAUCAGAUUUAAAGGAUGCAUAAUAUAGAAGAAAUGAUGAUAUAAUAUAACUAAAGAAAAUCUUAUAUAACAUCUAGCUAAAUGCUGCAUGUGAGGAAAUUAAGUAACCAAUCAUCAAGUAUGUGAAUAUUAUUUUUGUGUGGUUAAUUAGAAGUUAGGGAUUUGAUUUUUUCUCUCCAUUGAAGGUCUUGGGCAUCCUUGAUUUUACAGAAUGGCAUAUUUCAAAUCGGAAGUGAUUUAUCUUAUUAUUAAAAAUAGCUUGAAAACGAAAUAUACUAUUCUAUUAUUGACAUUUGACCAUAUUUGACCCCAAUAAAUUAAAAAUCAUUAUAUUGAAUAGUACAUCACCAGAUAACUUGGUCCUGCGAAUACAUAUCCUAGCUACUAGUUGGAAGCUAGGAGUUCGAUUUUUAUUUCAGAAAAGAUUUUGUUAACUUUUAUUUGGUAGGAUAACAUAUAUACUUUCCUUACGAGAUGACUAUUUUUGUUGAAAAGAUAAUUUCUUGACGGCGGAAUAUAGUAUCCAUUCUAGAUAAUUGGCCAUACUCCAUAAUUACCAAAUAAUAUAUGCUUUUUGAUUAAAAUCAAAGUAAAAUAUUGAAUAAAAUAUUCAUGUGUCGAAGUAAGGCCUCACUCAUCAGAGUUACAUUUAAAAGGAAAAUUAAUAAAAUAAUAUGCGUUUCAAGGAGUAUAUAUAUUGCAUGUGGAUCCGUAUGUUACUAGUUUGUUAAUUGUAUAUUAAUUCUUAUUUCUACAAUAUGGUCUCGCAUUGGCCAAACACUUUUGGACGUGGAUGUGCCGUUCUUGUUUGAUAUGUUGUUGGUAUCCUCUACAUGUAAGAAAACACACAAAAAAAAAAAACAGAAAAAAAAAAGAAAAAAAAUAUUUAAAUCAGAAACUUUAGUUCCAAACCUGGCUUGAUCCAGAGGAUCCAAACAACAAAUUAAACUAGGCCGACCAAGUUGGUCGGCGUUUUAAAAUUCAAUUACUUUUUUUUUUUUUUUUUUUUAAGAGAGAGAUAGAUAGCACACUAUCCGUUUCUUUUAUUUCAUUCAGAAAUAAACUUAGCUAGAAAUGUGAAUCAACUAGGAUUCGAAUUUGGAAUCUCGGUACCAACCACCAAGCCGUUUGCCAUUUGCUUUAGGGACGGUCAGUAGAGCCUCCUUUUUUGCUUCUAUUUUUUUGCUUUUGCUUUUUGCUCCAGUCAUUUCGAUCACAAUAUUUGGCAGAAAGAACUCACUCUGAAAUUUUAGUUAAAAAUGUAUAUGUGACACCCCUCGUCUCACUACAAGAAAAUUAACAUUUAAAGAUGUUUUUUUUUUAUAUCUAUUUAACGGCACUUAAAAGCGUCUCAAUUUUGUCUAGCGUCACAUUUGAAAACGUUGAUAAAUGAAGAAUCGCCACAUAUAUACCGACGCUUACGCCAAGUGUCAGUAAAAUAUAUUCUGACGCUUUAAAACAUCAGGAUUUUUUGAGAUCCUGACGCUUUAAAGGGCCGAAAAAUUAAAAAAAAUAGUACAGUUAUUAUGUAAUAAAUUGGUUUGAUACAAUAAAGGACUUAUAUAACAACACUUUUUGAACCAUCGAUAUUUGCUAUAUUAUAGGGAUAUAUGCUUGAGGACGCUUCCCCAAGAUCGUCUAAACAACGUUCUUAUUUUGAGAUUUUUUGGUAGCAUCUAUCGGUUAUUCUCAAAUGGUCCCCUCAACUAUAAAAUUUUUCUGUUGACACUCUUAAUUUCAAUUUUUAGUUUGAAAAUUUUCUAUCUAGUUAAGUAAAUUGUUUCAAAAAUAUAAUCUCUCCGCUAGCCACAGUCAUUAAUUGUUCUAACUUUAUUUGCUAAAAAUCAAUCAAACUAAUAACUUUUAUAAAAACACUCAUAAAUUUAAUAAAACUUUCAAUUUUGUAGAUAAAAAUAACUCUUCAAAUUUAGAAUGCCAUGUUGGUGAGGGGUCUCCAUAUAUUAAUUUUUACCCAAGUUUUACGUGAAACGUACGGUUAAUUCUCAACUAUAGGCUUGUUUUGCCACAAAGUUACAUUUUUUUACAUAUUUUCAUCAAUUACAUUAACAGUUUUGUCAAAUUUAACAGUAUUUUUGUAAAUUUAACUAUUUUGAACAUUUCGUUAAACUUCUAACUUAAUUUAGCUAAGAAAUUAUCAAACUUAAAUAAAUAAAUAAAUAAUUUAGAAGGUUUAUAUAAAAGUACCAACAGUUGGAGGAGGAUAUAUAGGGAGGGGGCUGCUUCAUUAUUUUUUCCCAAGUUUUUGUAUGGUUGUUCUUUAAAAAACAAAUAUUCAAAUAGUAUUCAUUAAAUAUCAUUUAGUAUCAAUGCUAAUUUCUCCUUUAUUUUUUUAUUUCUUGUAACGCAAAUUCUGUUUUAUUUGGUGUAUUGGGACAAGGAAUAUUGUAUUUGAAAGAAUUUGAUUUGGUGUGGUGGGAGGACGAAUAUUUUAUUUUUGUUAUUGUUGUACGGUUAGUUUGGUAUUUUUAUAAAAUAAUCUUUUAAAAAAAUUUAUUUGGCCAAAUAAUUUUGUGAAAAAAUUGUUUGGCUAAAUAAUUCUAUUUUGUUCAAUUCAACACCAAAGAUGGUGAAUUAUUUGUCAUCUUCAAUAAGGGCUCAUUUAUUUCAUCAAAAGUGGCGUUUGAAUUGAAGUAGACUUUAGGUUAAAGUAGAGUUCAGGAAAAGUGUUUCUUCCCCAUUAUCGGUUUUCAUAACUACAAAAGUGACGUUUGUCUACUUGUGCUUUAUGUUUGGUAUGAAAUGGAUGACAUUAAAGCUAUAAUAUAUACAUGAAUAAUAAAGAAAUUGAUAAAUAAUAAAUUGUAAUAUAAUAAAUAAAAGGUAAAAUAAUUGUUUUCUGAUAUAAUUAAACAAUAUAAUCUAAACGAACUAAAUUUAUUUUUUUUUAUACGUAAAUUAUAAUAAUACAACAUGCAAUAAAAUCAUGAUGCAAAAAAUAUGUAAAUAGACAAUUAAUCAAUUUUUUUGUCCUAUUUUAAAUGUCCAAACUAAAUAAAGAGCUAGGUGCUAAAACUUAACAAAUAAAUUUCUAUCACAUUUUGAACUUGUAAACUAAAAAAAGGAUUAAUUAGUAACAUAAUAAAAUAUAUUUAAAUAUAGCUAGCAUUACACUUUCUGUGACGCCCCAACUUCCCAGGGGGUCGCCCAUCCUAGAACUACUCCCGUCCUAGCACGCUUAACUCUUUUAACCUCUUGAGCCUUGCCACCACCCAAAAUACUUAAGCCGGAUUAAGAAUUUAGCCAUAUUAUAUCUUAUAUAUAGGACUAUCUGGGAUCUCCCCUCCUUUAAGCCCUGACGUCCUCGUUAGGCUUAGACUCACAAGUACCAGGCGAUGUGAGACUCGUCUCGCUAACCUUGUCAUUCCGACCCCGGCUCAGCCGAGACUCAUCUCACACUUCCAGCUGGUAAUUGGCUCUGAUACCAACUGUGACGCCCCAACUUUCCAGGGGGUCAUCCAUCUUAGGACUACUCCCGUCCUAGCACGCUUAACUCUCUUAACCUCUUGGGCCUUGCCACCACCCAAAAUGCUUAAACCAGGUUAAGAGUUUAGCCCUAUUAUAUCUUAUAUAUAGGACUAUCUGAGAUCUCACACUUUCGUAAUUUUGGAUAACUUAAGUUUUAACUGUAACAUUGUUACAGUGUACCAAACAGUGAAAGUGGCCAUUUACGAUUGAAAAUGACUUCAGCUCUCUCAACUUUCACCUAAAAAACAAGCAUUAAAAGUUUAAAAGACGAUAAAUUAUUUACAAUCCUUUUCUUUAAAAAACAGAAGAGUGAAUGAUUCACUAUUUCACUCUUAGUUAUCACCCUCUGUUAUAAUUGCUCUCACAUACAACAAAACAAGCUAACAAAACUUCCAACAAUGAACCUCGAUCUGUGCAAUUCUAACAACCCCCGCAAAAACUUCUAAUGGCCUAUACCAAAACCAACAAACAAGUGCAGAAACAUGAAAAUAGAAAUACGGUAAAUAAUUCACCGCCUAUUAAAGACAGUGCAUAAAUCAUCGCUUUCAUAUAAGCACAGUGAACAAUUCAUCGUCUUUCACUUUUUCCUCCACCACCGCGCUGAGUUGAACAAAGUAGGGCUAAUUUGCCAAAUAAAAUUUUACAAGAAUCAUUUGAGUAAAUAUAACUUUUUAAGAUUAUUUUAAAACAAAAUCCGUUAGUUUAAUAUGCAUAUGACUUUUUUGGUUUUUUUGGUUUUUUUGUUGCUAUGCCUUCAUCGAAAUGUAUGAAUUUUAAAUCAUUAUCUACUCAAGUCUAUUCAUAUAAAGCAAUUAAAAUUCAAACUUAGAAUAUUCAGCUUUAAUAUCACUUUAAAAUAGCCAAUUGCUCUUAAAGAUUAAGCUAUAACAAAAAAAAAAAAAAGUAAUUUUUUAGCAAGUGGCAACGUAACGGGAAAUUAAAAACUCCAUAUAAAUUCCGUGCGAAACCCAAUGCAGCUGCUCAUUCUCUGCGUCAGUCUUACUCGAUCACAGUCUCUUGUCAGCUGUCCGCACUCUUUUGCUGCCGCGCGCUGUCGCGACGGCCGCUUCUGCCGCCUCCAACUUUUUUUCAGUUAUCUUCUUCCAUGGUAAGCUAUUAAUUACCAGCGAGCUUCUUUCUUGGGAAUUCGAAUUUUGUUUUGAUCAAUACACUUAAAAAAGCCUGUUUGGUUCAAGAGUGGAAUCAAAAUCGAAAAUAGUAUUGAAUUAUAUUGGAAUAAAAAAUUAAAUGAUGAAUUAUUAAAAAUGGGUUAAAUUAUAAAAAAAAUUUUCAUAAAUAUCCGUUUUUUUAGUUUUUCUUUAUGAUUUUUUAAAAUUUAUAUUUUUAUCCCUUAAAAUUUUAAGUUGUUGUAUUUAGACCCCCUCCGUCACGGUUUCAUCAUUAUUCCGUUUAUUUUUAUAUUUUAUACUGAAAAUGCCCUUCAAAAUAACAUAAAUAUAUUAAAAAAUUAUUUUUUUCUUAUAGAAGAAGUAAGGGUAAUUUGGUUAUUUUGUCCUCUCCAUUAAUACUGUAUACUUCUGAAACUAUUUCUGAAAUUUUAAGGAGGCAAAAUAUAGAAUUUUGAAUGUUAAGAAGGCAAAGUAAAAAAGUGGGUAUUUAUAGGAGAGUUUUUUUGUAAUUUAACCUAAAAAAUAUUUGGCUUAGAAAAUUUAGAAUUUUAAAAAAUGAUUUUGAUUAAGAGAGAGAGAGGAGAGUGGUGAAAGGAGAGGAGGAAGAAGCAUUUGUAAGAGAGGAUUGUGAGUGAUUUAUUAGAAAUAGGUAAAUCCGGAAUUCAAACUGAUUUGAGCCAUAAAUACGUUGGAACAUUUUCAUUUCAGAACGGAAUGAAAAUCGGAAUCUGAUUUUUGUAAAAUAAUCAACAAAUAUUAAAAAAAUAAUAAAUUUUAUUCUAAUUUUAUAUAUAUUCUAAAAUAGAUGAACUAAACAAGCCUUUACUAUCAAUGUUUCGCUUUCGUACCUACUUCGGAAAAACUUACUGCGGAAAAAAAUUUAUUUACUUCACUUUGCUCGCUCACACACUCGUGCACCAUAAAUUAUCAGCUCUUCAUGACUUGUUUCAUGCUUUUGAUUCCACGGAUGACUUUCUAAAUAAAUAAAUAAAACUUCAAUUUUUAUUACUUUUUUCAAGCGUCGAAUUAGGAAAGAGAUUAUGAUGUGUGUUAAAAGCUUCAGACGAUUAUGUAUAAAUUGUUAGAUGCACACCCUAGAAGCCAACCGUAGAAUAAAUAUAUUCAUUAAUGCGUAGAAACAAAAUGAGAUAACGAAUUUUCUUCAAUUGUUAGAUGCAUACCCUAGAAGCUUAAAUCGUUUUUAAGCUGUUUUAUUCAAAACAAUUAAUGCGUAGUAACAAAAUGAGAUAACGAAUGGACUUUCGAAAGAGGCCCAUCCGUAGAAUAAAUAUACGUUUCCUCAACGUUUCCAAAAGAUGUGGAGGAUAGGAAAUCACCCAAUACUUUACUCUCCAAAAAUAAUAAUAAUAAUAAUAAAUGUCUCCUGAAUAUUUUGAAGUUUUUGAAUUUUCUUCUUCAAUUAUACGCUAAUGUUUUAGAGCAUGUUUCUUUCAAAAUCUGGAUUCUCUGAUAAGCAUUCAUGAGAUAAUCACCCUUUUUUAGUUCUAAUUUUGGGUUCUCUCUUUGACUACUCGGCAACAAAUUUUGAGAUGUUAAUUACUAUAAUACAUACUGAAUUUACAUUUUACAGGUCAAUAGAAUGAAUCAUUACUACUCAAGUCAAAUUUCAUUGUAGAAACUUCGGAGUCAUGUAAUUUCCUCGUGUUUUAUCUGAUCUUCAAUUUUGAUUCGUGAAUAUAGUACGUACUAGUCUUCAUAAAUGAAGUGAAUAUAUCCAACAUCUACUCAUUCUUUUCUCUUCAAAUAGCUGGUUUUUUCAGAAUAGAUCAGCAUAAUUCGUUUGCUUUAACUUCAGUAACUUCUUUCUUUUCUCGUUGCUGUAACAUAAUAUUCUCCCUGAACAAAACUAUAAGAUCGAGCUAUCUUCUUCCAAUAAUUCGGCGAUGGCUGAAGGUGACCGCAGUAAUUCUGAGUCUUCCAGAAUAGAUGUACCAGCGAUCGAACCAAGAAAUGCGCCAUCCGAGAUCACCAAUGGGGAAACUAACAGAUGCAAGAUUUUCAAAGUUCGGGAUCAAACUAUCCACGAGAACAGCAUCGACUCCUUCAAGCCAAAAAUUCUAUCUAUCGGUCCAUAUCACCACGGAUCUUCACGUCUAAGAGGCAUGGAAACGUGGAAGCGGGAUUGUCGACGUUACAUCCUUGGUCGCAUUAGUGAGAGCGACUACAAUACAGUGGAAAUUAAGGAACUAGUAAAGAAAGCAAGAAGCGUUUACAGCGAGAAUAUCACAAUGGAACCGAACAAGUUUGCCGACAUGCUCUUGCUUGACGGAUGCUUCGUGCUCGCUUUUCUCACGGAGAUAAAAGGCAAGAGCGUUGAAAACGAACCCAGCGAAACUGGUAUGAUCGGUGGUUCUCAAGGAACCACUUCGAGCGAUACCACGGGGCACACGGGGGGAGGUCAAUGGCAAGAUGACCGCCACCAGGAUGAAGCGAUUAUAAGGGAAGACACAGUGCGUGACCUAUUAUUCCUGCUCGACAACCAAAUUCCUUUCUUCGUCAUCGAGGAAAUACAUAAGCUAGCUGUAGGUGAAGGAGAAACAACCGAAACACUUAAGAAAAACAUCGCUAAAUAUGUGGAAGGUGUGCUACACCACUACCCGAAGGCGAUCGAAAUCCCCGCGAUCUGUUCGAAUGACUUUCACCAUCUGCUGCACUUGUGCCAUAUGUUCUUUCGACCUAGUCAAAAGCCUGAGAAGCGCAACGGCAAUCGAGCAGCGACGAACCAAGCAAUGUGGCACCGAGCAAUGCAAUACCGCGAAGCAGGAGUCGAGUUCAGAGUAAAGGACUCUUCGACUCCCCAUUCUCUUUUGGACGUGACGUUCAGCAAUGGGACAAUGGAAAUUCCACACCUGUCUAUUGACGGGAAAACGGAAUCUAUUUUCAGUAACCUUCUCUUGUUUGAGCAAGGGUGUUCUCAUACUGGGAGAUAUAUAAAUGCGUACGUCGCUUUCAUGUCGCAGCUUCUCAGCGAUGCCGAUGAUGUUAAAUUACUUGCUCGUGAAAACAUCGUUCAGAUAUUGAAUCACGAGGAAGAGGCUCUAAAUAUUUUCCGCAGGCUUAACGGGUUGGCUAUUGUCGAUCGCUGCGGGAAGGACUACUAUUUAACAUCUACGUUUCAGUCGGUGGAAGCACACUACCGUUGCCGUUUUAAUUGGUGGAUGGCAUGGUUGAAGCACAAUCACCUAACGAAUCCGUGCGUGGCCGUUGCAGCGCUCUUAGGUCUUACAGCCCUUCUCUGCACUAUAAUUCAACAGUUGCUUUCUAUUUUGGCGCAUUUCAAAGUGGUACAUUAACCGUCGUCGGUAUUAUUUGUUUCUUCAAUCUAGUUUACCCAGAUCAGUUUGUUUUGAGUUUGUCUAUUUUCUACUUAUGCUUAUUCAUGUUAUGCAUGUGACAAUUUGUAAAUGUUUGUUUCCAGCAUCAUUUCAUAAAAACUUAUAUUCUUGGAAGAUCAUAUUUGAUUUUUGUGGAGUUAUACUGCAUUAAUUAGCUUUUUAUCACGAACAAUGUAGACCUUUCCCUGGUUCUUUAUGCUGCACAAAAUGAAAUACACAGAGAGAGAGAGAGAGGGACUUAAUUAAUUAGAGGAGAGCUCAUGUAUGAUGUAAGAAAAAAGAACUUUAAGAGUGGAUAUAUAGAACGGCCACAUAUUCCGAAGCUUCUAUAUAUUAUAGGGCUCGAUCGGCAACGAACUGAAGUAUUCAAGCAAAUCAAAAGGAGACCCUAACAACUCAACAACUUAACUGUUUCCAUAUUAACAAACUUGAUCAACAAUAAAAUCCACAAAAUGAUAAAGUUCAAAACUAAUUAAAUUGAUCCUAAUUAACAAAGUGAUAGAGAUCAAAAUUAAUUAAGCUUAACCCUUUUUGAUCACCACUUUAAAUGUUAAGGUUGGCUCACAAUUAUUGACUGUACCUAGGUCAAUUGGCUAAAAGUUUGAUGGUUGUUAGUAUACGAGUUUCCAAGUUCGAAAUAUGAUUACUUCACAUUUCUAAUUAAAUUCAUUUCAUAACUGUUGGAAAUAAUAAUCCAAACUUAAUUAAAAUAUAGUUACAGAUAAAUCUAAAUCUUUUAUUUGAUUAUGGUUAGGAUUUGUAGUUAUCCAAAAUAAAAGUUGGAUUUAUCAUCUGUUAUGAUUUGAUGACUAUAUAUAGUUAGGCAUGGAUUAAUUAGAUGAAUAAGCCAUAGUAGACAUGACUGCGUGGGGUUGGCUCAGAAUGUAAUUUUGCUUUUUAUUAAUAAAGUAUUAGUUUAGUUAUUUUCUUCCUCCUCCAAAUUCUCUUCUUCAUAUUAUUUUGUGCGAUUUUAGAUCUUCGGUUAUAUAAUUGGUAUCAGCAUAAAUAUCGAUUCCAACAAUUGGUAUCAGAGAUAAUCACGCUUCCCAACAAUUGGUAUCAGAGCCAAAGAGAGCCAGAAAGUAUAAUCCGACUUAUAAACCAAAUGACAGCAUAUUCGAAAAGAAUAUAGAUCCAAUGUACCGGAUAGCUACGUCAAAGUCAAGCGACUCGUAGUUUAUCAACGAAGGUGAUGUUCAGGUGAAACCAAAGCGAAAGAAUUGCUUUGAAGAAACUAGCCUCCAGCCUCCGCACAACACACGACAACAGGUGGUUGUGAUGCUUGACGAAAAGAGAGCGAGGAAAGCCCGUGAAGAGAUCCAAGAAGACUUGACCAGAUAGCCAGGAGGGAUAGGCAAGCAAGCCGAAGUACAGAAAAUUCGGCGAGAUCUCGAUGAACUAAGGACGUCAUCCAAACACAAAGGUACAAAUCUGCAACUUAUUUUUCAGAUUUUCAAGUUUUGUCAUGGAUUUAGAUAAUUGGUUUAUUCAACCUGGCUUACCAAAGUUCGAUGGAACAAACUUUAAACGAUGGAAAAUCAUUAUUCAAUAUUUUUUAGAAUCCCAAGAUUUGUGGGAUAUAGUGGAGAAUAGAAAUUAUGAAAAAGAAUUUGGUAAAGACGAAUUUAAAAAGAGAGACAGAGAAGUUCUAUCAUAUAUUUUUCAAACAGUGGAUCUAUCGUUGGUUGGAAAAAUUUCAACGAUAAAGACGGCACGAGAAGCGUGGAGAAUGGUAUUGAAAAUUGGAGGAGAAGAUUUGCAGGAAGAGAAUGAAAUUCAAGAAGAAGAAGAAAUUCAACCAAACAACAAAAAUACAGAAGCCUCAAUUUGGAAAGAAAAAUCUGAUCAAAAUCAAGAAGAAAAUCAAAUUUGUGAAGAGUAUCUUGAUGAUCAAAACGGUGCAACUCAAAUCGAUGAGAAAGUUCACAAUGAUAAUAUGCUUUCUAUUAAUGAAAAAAUUAUGCAGCAAAACAGGAGGAAAUUACUAUUAUUUUGAUGUGAUUGAAGAUGCAAAUCACAAAUUAGAUUUACGAAAGCAGAAAGCACAUAAAAAUUCACACGAGAUCAAUGUACCGAACAAACAUUCACAUGAAAAGAGAAGUAGGCUCACUAUUGUAUACUCUUCUAUUCCAUUUGGCUAAAACAUAAUGACUACGUUGGGUGUGCUCACCUAGCGAUUUUCUUAAAAAAAAAAAAUUGUGUUAGUCGAAGUUUGGACACCUGCCACAAGAGAGAGUACUAAAUGAUACACUCCUCAUUCGACCAAUUGGGAGUAGGGGUGGAACUGGAUCCGGGUCUAAACAAGGCCUGGCCUGAUGAGCCAUGUAUGGGCCGGGCUUUGGAUAUCAAAAUUAUAACUUCGAGUCUAGACCGGGCUUAAAAAUUUAAUUUAAACCCGAAAAAGUUUUAGGCUUAUUUGGACAUGUAUAUAUAUAGUUGGGCUAGAAUAUUAUUAAUAGUAUUUACCCUUUUUUGCUAUCAAAUUUUUAGCCUUUUGAUCAAUUCCUUUAAUCAUUUCUAACUAUUGGAUUAAAUAUUAUAAUCCAGUGGAGACCACUCAACCAACUAAUAUCAUCCUAAUCCUGCAAUUUCUCAUCCAAUGGUUAAAAACUUGAUAGCAAAAAAAAUCAAAUACUAUCAAUAGUAUUCCAGCCCAACUAUAUAUAUAUAUAUAUAUAUAAGAAAUAAAUGAUAUGUCUAAGUAUUAUUAAAGAUAGAUAUUAAUAUAUAUGACAAUGUACAUACACAUAUAACUAAAUAUUUAAUUUUCAUAUGAGGAUAUAUUAUAUAAAUAAUACUAUUUAUAUACAAUUAUACAUAUCUUAAAAAUAUAUAGUACUUAUUAUUUUAUACAGCUAUAUACAUAUAAAUCAACAUUAUAUAUAACAUAUGUUAUUUAUUAAAUUAAGAAUAUUUUAUUUUAUUCUAAUUUUAUAUAAUAAAAAAAAAUAUAUAUACACUAUGUAACAAAUACAUAAAGUAAGCCUCCACAAAGCCCGAUGGGUAUUGGGCUUGGAUGCAUGAACAAGUAAUCCAGUUACAGCAUGGGGAAUCAGUGCAGUACGAGUAUUUUGUUUUGUCAUUGGAAAUACGAAGUCCAUCGAAAGGUCGACGGACCAAAUAAUCAUGAUUUCCCAGGAUACAAAAUUCUACCUACGUGAUGGUUAGACAUAUUCCUAGGAGAUGAUACAAGAGGCAGUAUACUCUAUGCAUCUUGGGCAAGAAAAAUAGAUAUGCUGAACACGAUGUUUAUGCAUACGAACGGGCCCUUAUUUCCGUGCAUGGAAAAUAUUUGGAUAACAACACCUCAGCAACUAGUUGCAAUUUGUUAAGGGGGUGUUUGGUUUCCCGUAAAAGUACACCGAAAAUUAAUUUUCAGUUGAAGUAAACUAUCAAUUUAGGGACUUUCCCGCUACAAAAUUGUCUGGAUGAGAUUGAAAUACAACUGAUAAGGAUUUCAAAUCCUAUCAUCGAAACAAAAUAUCCUAAAAAAAGUCACAUGCUAUUCGACCGAGAAGCUGAAAUUCCUAUUGAUCCACAACCUCGAAAAUCAUUGAACCGCCCGCGUAAGUUUUUAACAUGGCUGAUACUGAUAAUUCACAUAUUGUUGUGGAAUAAAAGAGUGCUAAAGCUACUUUACAUGAGGUUAUGUUUGGAAGCAAAGAGGACAAGAGAUCUAGUAGUAACCUUCUUAUUUCCUUGUUCGCUUCUUCCUAAUAUAGAUGAGUUUAUUCAGAAGUUACCAACAAUAUAGCAAGAACAGAGAAGCCUAUCCUUUUCGACCGAUAAACCCUAAACUUUUGAUUUUCUUGAAUCAAAGUGAUUCCAGUCAAUAAAAUUUGGGACUUUACUAAAUUUAUCGAUCGAUGUUUCUAUUAAAUUUCACCACUUUAAUCACUUUUCAGCAAAUAAAACUGAACUAACAGAUGGCUAAUAGGUAAAAGAGCCAUUAAUUCAAACAAAAUUUCAACUUUACUAAAUAGAAUUACUUAAA
rnacentral:lncRNA from 1 species